rnacentral:lncRNA from 1 species
GACAACAAUACAAUUAAGGGGGAGGGCACAACAAUAUACAUACACUCACAGGAUUCCAUCAUCUUUCAUUUUUUGAUGACAAUAUACACACACACGUAAGAUGUACAGAGCUUCCUCACCAUUUCGUCUCUCAAUACAUACAAACACCUCAUACACGCACAUACCCCUCAAUUCACCAAUACACAGUUCCCACAGCCCACAUUACACAGAUUACACUCGCAGUAAUUCUCACACACACACACUGAAAAUUGGAGGGAGAUUGAGAGUGAAGAGAGAGAUUGAGAAAGACAGUGAUUGGAAAUCUGAGAGGAGAGAGGAAACAGACGUCGAAUGACACUAUUUCGGCGAGAACCCGCCAAAAAAGGUUGAAAACUCGGCUGAUUCACCAAUUCCCAUCGCUACUAGAGCUCACUGAAGCUCCGGCAAAAUAAUAACAACAAAACAUCCCUCUCCCGUCCCCGUCUUCGGUAAAUUCAUCGGAGAACAAAUUCCAAAUCUACCUGACCAGUCCCAGAUUCGGCGGAAAUUGUCAAAAAAUGAACGAAGCAGUAGUGGGGUGUGCAAAUUCGAGUACGGGUCUUUUGUUAUUUUCUUGAUUUUGAUCUAGGUUGGCGAAAAACAGAGAAAAAGGGUAUAUCGUGGUCGGGUUUAUUAGUGGAGGUUUGAAUUGAGGUUUUUCGGGCGCGCUUCUAUCUUCGAUAUAUCAAAAUCGACAAUUGAGGUCCAAUUCUUCUCUUUUCCUCUUUUUAUUUCAUUGUUUAUUAUAUUUGGUGUGUUGGAUUAAAUAUCAUGUGUUGUUUGAUCCUUGUUGGUGAUGAAUAGUGUCUUGGUAUCGAUUGAUUGUUGAUUUCGUUGAUUAUGUAUGAUGCGAUGAAACGAUAUAAUCACUUGAGAUUUGAAAUCUGUAAUUUGAGUAUAGAAUUGGGGGUGGGAAUUAAAAGAUUAAUAAGGUGCAUGUUGAUUAUUUUUAUUCAUUGAUGGAUAUGGUUGAAAUCGAUAGUAUCAUAUUUUAGAUCGUUUAAUGGGUAGACAAAUACUAAGUUUGGGUAGGCAAAUUAUAGAAAUAGAAGAUGAUGAUUUGUUGAAUGUGUGGAUGUCUUGUUGAAUGGUUCUUUCUAUUUUCAACGCACAAAAUUGAAAAAAUGUAUUCAUUUGACCGGAGAAUGCACCGAGGUCUUAUGUACUUAUUCAUUGGGGAAUACCUCAAAGCAUCUUGUACUCGAAGAGCAUUCGUGAUGAAGGUCCGAGGCAUUGGGUAAAGCAUAGAAAUGUAGUUUAGGAUUAGUAAGUAGGUUUACAUUUCCAUAUUUUUCUAUUUUUGGAACUGUAAUAAUUGGGAUGAAAACUAUAUACUUGUUUUGUUUUGUUUAUUUGAUUGAUUGUUUUGUGUGUUUUAUGUAAUUUAUACAUUCAUAGUGUCAAAUUAGCCGAUAUGCUCCACCAAACGAAUAUGGUCGAACCACGGGAUCGAGGGGUGCCUAACACCUUUCCCUCGGUCAACAGAAUUCCUUAAUCGAAAUCUCUAUUCGUGGAUCAGUUUUAAAGAGUCAAAAUCAUUUUCAAAAAGGAUAUCCAAGGGUGACUUGGCACAGCCGAUUUAUGCCAAGUGCCGACUCUGAGUUUUGAAUAUAAAAAGUUAUUUUCGAAACAAAUCUUCAUUUUGUCACUUAAUAAUAAAACCCUUUUUCAAACCUUAAAUUAAUUCUUUUUUGUUAAUAAAAGGGUGUGACUGCUCUGGCGACUCUGCUGGGGACAUUUUCAGUAGUCGAGCUUAUUUUUGAUAUUGUAUCGGCUUAGUUUAACAUUAUGAUUGUAUAGACGUUGUUUGCGAUAUUGUUUGUACACCCUCCAUCCCAAAUUAUAUGUCGCCAUUUUCUUUUCGGUCCGUCCCAAAAAGAAUGUCGCCUUUCCUUAUUAGGUAAGUUCUUAAAGACACAAUUACAAUUUUACCCUUAGUGGUCCUACUUGAUUUUAAAUACUAUUACUCAUUUUUUAUUUGUUUUUUCAAUUAAAAGUGGCCCAGCUUGAUUUUAAAUACUAUUACUAUAAUUUUGUAACUUUAACAAAGUCAACACUUAUUUCUUAAAUAUUGUGUCCGGUCAAAUAACGACAUAUAACUUGAGAUGGAGGGAGUAUUUAUUUUAUCAUUGUUAAUUGCCUACUUGCUACGUUUUUAUAGUUUUUACUCUUAUGUGUUACCGCUUUAUAUCUGACAUCAUUUGUAUAACCCGAGUCAAUUUUUUCUGCAACAAGUCUCGGAGUACACGUUGUGUACACGAACUCUAGUUGAGUCACCCUUAUUGUAGGAGGGGGACCCGUCAGAUGUAUGGAGUAGGUGGAAAGCAAAGCAACCACUAUUGACCAUAUGCUCCUUGAACGUCCUUGUCAGUGGACCCCAACGUAGGUCAGCCUUUAGAUCAUGCUUAUCUACAUCAUAUUGAGACCUAGCGGGACCUACUUGAUCCUUUGUAAGAGACUCGCCCAUAAAGCAUCUCUACGUGCUAAUUGUUGCAUCUUUGAGGGUAAUAUGAUCAUUUGAUGGACUGGUUUAGGGAAAACAUGUGUUAGAAUUAAAGGAGCGUGUGUUACGCAAGGAAAAAGAAAAGAAAAAAAAGAGUUUAGGAGUUUUUUUAGUGACCUUUAUGGCUUUUGUUUUUCACAAUUCAAAAAUUCAAAAAGACUUUUUACCUUUUGCACUCAUUUACUCAAAAAACAAAAUAUCAAAAAGAUUUUGCCUUUGUUUCUUUCUUUUAGCAAGCAUUCAUAAUUUGAAAAUUUCAAAAAAGAUUUUUUUUUUUGGAGUUAUUUUUUAUAAAGGAAAAAUUCAAAAAAAAUGAUAGAAGUUUUGUACAUUUCAUGUAACGAAAUACAAAAAGUUUUUUCUUUCAUAAUUGUUGGUGUCAAUCUUAUGUGAAGUGUCCAAUUGAACCCCCCCCCCCCCCCAAAAAAAAAAGAUUUUAUUGACAUUUUUUAUCAUCCAUCUUUGGUCAUGUCUAUCAAGUAAAGGUUCAGUUUGUUGUUUAAUCCUUAAUUAUCCAAUCUGGACGAAUUACACAUACCUGAUUCUUCUCUCUCGGGGCUGACAUACGUAGGCACCCCUUCCAGGGUUCAGUAAUCUUAUUUACAAAAACCACAAAAAGAUUUUUCUUUAAUUGUUUCAAGUUUAUUUUCGUAUGAAAUUCAAAAUUGAAACCCUAAAAAGGAUUCUUCUUUGGUAAUUAGAGGUUUCGUUUUGUAUAGAAAUCUGAAAAAAUUCAAAAAAAAUUUAUUCACUCUUCAUUUAGAGUAGGUAUCAUAUACAUCUCUAAAAGAAAACGACAAAAGAUUUUCUUUUAAUAGUUUCAAGUUUCAUUUUCGUAUGAAAUUCAAAAUUGAAAACUCAGAACGAGUUUCCUUUGGUGACCAUAAGUUUCAUUUUGUAUAGGAAGCUGAAAAAUUCAAAAAGAUUUUCGUCAAUUCUAUUGGCAAUUUGUUAUUUUCUUUUCUUCUUAAAGUUUCAAGAAAAAGAAAAAAAGAAAGAGAGUUGAUCGGUCGUUUUGUGGCCAAAUUUCAUGAACUACACACACCUGAUUUUACUCUCUCGGGAGUGAGAUAUGUAGGCGCCCUUCUUGGGUUCGGUGAUCUUUUUAAAAAAAAAAGAAAGAAAAAGAUUUUUAAAAAAGAUGUUGAACUCCAACACAUUUGUUAUCUCUUGUUCAGUUAGUUUAAGGUGGUUGGUUUGUGGCAUUUUGAUUGGUCCUCCAUAUCACACCAAGUCUAAGGGAGAGUUAGUCAUGUCCAACAAGGAUAUAGAGAGUGACAUCAUGGAUCAGACGAAGGGUAAAAAAAUGAGAGUUUAAAGGAAGAGAUUUUGAGACUAAGGUAACAAAUGAUAGAAAUACACCGAUCUUGGGCCAGUGGGUUGCCUUCCUACUAUCGUUGAUGCACCACAACAUGCCUCGAAAUUCAUGACAUGUCAGCUGCAUCCCAAUACUUCCACCACCUCUUCUCUAUCUCCUCAAUAUAAGCCUACUAUAUUCGCAACACCAUAUGUCGUCUGUGAUUUGUUGCUCAACCCUCUAUUGAGGCUUCCACAUUGGCUAUCCGUCCAAUGAUUGUGGUUUCCCAGGCCACUAGUGAACCCAUGUUCAAUACUCUUGAUAAUCAUUUCUAUACUUAUUAGCCACUUUUAAGUUAACUGGACCACCAAAAUUUCUUACCAAGAAGUCCGACAUGGCAGAAGAGCAAAUGGUUUGGAAAAUGAAGGGUAUAGAAAAUACUAUGAAAAGUUCCCUAGGACUCGUAGAUAAAGAAGAUGUUUCAUAUAAAUAUUGAGGCAUGUCUUCAAGUUUCAACCUUUUUCAAAGAUUUUAGAUAUUGAAAUUUGAAGAACAUGAUGGACAUUAGGAUUCUGUGAAACAUUUGGUACGAUACUGCAAUAAAUCAAAGGAAGCUGAAGGGAAAAAGAAGGAAGACGUACCUAUUGUCGUGCCAGGGCCAAAGCAGAGAUUGAGAGGUCCAACUCACUAAUACUGUCAGCAUCAAUCCCUAUCUUACUUAUUAGAUCCACAUACUCACCUACAACACGGUUUCUCAUUCCAAAAUCCAAGAUAUUCUACUUUACUUCCUCAAUAUCCUUUGAAAAAUGCACAAUUGUAUACUCGUCUGUUAUCUUAUCCACAAUGGCAAGCACCGAUCCCUCAACAUCAUCCUCAGCCCCCCCAUAUAUUUACCAAGGUGCCUCUAAAUCCAAGUUUCAACCAAGGCUAGAGUUUUUAAAGAGGAUGAAGGAAAGGGGUAAUUUCACUCAUAUUGGGGAAUCCUAUGCCAGUUUGUUCCAUAGAUUGAGAUAGUGGGGCUUGAUUACUCCUCUCCUUAGGUAUACACUCGACUCACAUUCAAGAAAUUUUGACCCUAAUGUAUGGUGCGAAUAUCAUUCUGAUGUCUAGGGUCAUAAUAUUAAAGAUUGUCGUAAUUUGAAAAGAGAAAUAGAAAAGAUGAUUCAAGAAAAGUGAUUGUUGCAAAAUGUUGACACCUCGAGCGUUACACAGAAUCCUUCAUCAACACAUGGUGAUGCACAGUACGUGGGAAGUAAUGAGUUGGGCAUGAGGAUCCAAAACUUAUUUGUUGAGGGAAAUGUGUUUGAUGGUGAUGAAAGCUCUAAUCAUGAUGUGCAAAUCAAUGGCUAAGAUGUCAAGCUCAGCAAUUGGGAACUCACUCUUCUCCCUGCUAGGAUAAAUGUUUGGUAGUUUGUUUUCUUUUCUUUUCUAUUAUCUGAAUUAUUUCAGAGUUGUAGUUCGGGAUCUAUCUUGUUUUGCCCCUUUGUCGUUUAUGUUCAAACCCUUCCAUCUUUCAUUUAAACUAAAUGGAGUGCCCCUUUUUCCUUUGUGUUUUAAAUAUGUGUUGUUGUUUGUUUUCUUUACACAGUAUAUUUUAUGUUGGUUCUAGUGACAUGACAUGCUAGUGUAAUUUUCAGCUAGAUCUUAAAUCAAGUUUAACCAAGAAUUUUGAAUCAGAGGGAUAAGGUUAGAAAAGAAUCUGAGAAAAUAGGUAGAGUGCUAAGAUAUUUGGCAACAAGUUGAAGCCUUCUUUGAAAAUUAAGACAAUUAUUUUGAGAAUCACAAGAGUAACUUGGUCCUCAAUUGAAAAACAUGUCUCAAUUAGGUUAAAAAGUGGCUGCGUGAUCUUAUAUUAAGAGGAACAGAAAGAAAAUCAGCUCCACAAAAGCAUGAGUAAUUCGAUGUGAGGGAUGUACAACAAAGGUGGAGUUGUAUGCUGGAAAACUGUGGAAAAAUAUGUGACACACAUUCUCAGUUAAAGUAUUGAUAAAGUGUCACAAAUGCUCUUCAUCUCGCUUUCAUAUUGCAUUUUUACGUACUUGCAUUUUCAAGGAUUGAUAUGACGAAGGCAUUUCAUUCUGCUAUCCAAACAUUGUGUCAUCCUUUGUUUACCCAUUUGAGCCUUAGUUCUAUUUUCUUUCAUACCCCUCUUUUGGAAUCAAGAUAAGAUUCAGCAAUGUUCAAAAGAAAAGUGUUGAGCAAAAGAAUAAAGUAAAAAAUGUGUCAAAAAGAAAGAAAAAGAAGUGUCAAGGAAAAUAAAGUCAGAAAAAUUUUCAAAGAUAAAUAAAAAAAAGAAAAGAAGUUAGAAUCAAGCAAAAGAACGAGUUGUUGGAACUACGUGUGACCUGAUUCUUCUUUCUCGGGGAUGAGAUAUGUAGGCUGCCCUACUCUGGGCUUGGUCCAACCAAAUAAAUAAUUUAGUAUUUCCCAGUAAAAAAAAAACUAGGGCAUGAGUUAAUCCUCAUUAUUUGAGUCGAUUCUAAAAGUUGUAAGUCCCACCCUACUUUAAAUAUCGUUUGGGCCUCAUGCCAUUCUUUCUUUCUAACCCUAUCCAAAAGCCAAGUUACAACCAAAGAAAGACCUUCAGACCAAUCUUUGAGGAUGUUAAGGCUAAGCAUGCAAGGGAUAUAAUGAUGCAUUUGGGAACUACUUGUCUUCCUCGGCAUAAGGAAUCAAGAGAGAAAUAAAAAUGAGAGUCUUAUUGAUGAAAACCCUCACGGGCACCGUAAGGCAAUGGUAAGUCGAUAGAUAAUAAAAUGAGAGUCUUAUUGGUGAAAAUCUUCAUAGGCAUUGUAAGAUGAUGGUAAGUUGAGAAAAAUAAAAAUGAGAGAGUCUUAUUCGUGAAAACCUUCACGAGCACCAUAAGGCAAUGGUGAGCUGCGAGAAAAAUGAGAGAGACUUGUUGGUGAAAACCCUUCAAAGUGUCACUAGCCGAAUGAGGUCUUAAAUGCAAUUGACCUAAGGAAGUAACUCAAAUUCAAGGCCAUUAACUCAACAAGAAAUGGUAAAAGUUUGGACGAAAAGAUCAGGCAGCUUAAUCCGAAAUGUAUGUCAUAUCAUUGGAGUUGACUGUCACUUUCAGAUAAAUUCUUCUUUUCUCUAUUUUAAUGGGGACAUUCAUUAUAUUUUCUUUCUUCUGAUAGUUUUAUUUUUAUUUUCUUGAGUCAUUUAUUCAAAUAAAAAAAUCAUUGUCAUUUUUCUCGUGUCUUUGAGUCAAGUUUAUGUCAAAAUAAGUGAGAAAAGUUUUCAAAAUUGGAUACUAACUUCUUCAAUUGCGCUAAGAAAGACAAAAGGAAAGCACAUGAAAGAAACAAGAUUGCAAGUCAGAACAAGGCAUACAGAAGGUUGUUGUCAACCAACAAAUUUGGAGAAUUCGUGGAAAUACCAAUAUCUAAAGGGGAUUGUCUUAGAAACAUAGCAAAGCAGAGAUACUGUGUUUGUUUUAGAGUCACUCUUAAUAAUCUGAGUCUGGAGCAAUGGUGAAACAAGGCAAUGACGAAUGUUAAUGAUUGGAAUUAAGAUUUUAAUGGGACCAGUGCAAGAGAAAUUGCCUCAAAAGCAAAAUCCGCAAGCCAACCACCUUGUUUAAAACUCACAAGUUUUCUUUGUUAUAAAACAGGAAUGGUUGCUACCUUUUAAUCAAAGUCUUCAAAGCACAAAUAUCCAGAGCUGCAAUUCCUCAUUUCUGCAAAUGCAAGAGCAUAGGUUUGGUAAUUGCAAUUAUGGUAAAACUUAUUAUCUUGUACCCCUAAGAGACACAUUCUCUAAUUUAGGCCUUUCAUGUCUUACGGCUAGGAGGUGCACUUCCUAAUUUGAACCGUUAGUUCUAAAAGAUGCACUUUUAGCAAGAACCUUUCACAUUCAUUCUUAAGAGACGAACUUUUUGGUCUCAGUCAUUCAAUUUUACCCUCAAAAGGGACAUUUGUUGAUCAGGAUCUUUAUUUAUCUUUGUAACGACCCUCCUGGUCUUGUGAAAUCUUUUCAACUUCCUUAUUCUAGCUCUUAUGGUAGUUUGUAUAUGUAAUUUAUGACUUACGAAGAUAGAUAGUACCGAUUCUUGAUGUGUUCUAGGUGAGUUAAGUUCCUAGUUGGGUAUUUUAGAUAAUUAAUUUAAUUAGUAAUUUAAUGGGUCCAAAACCAUAGUUUAACUACUUAUGGGGUCAAUACAAAAAAUAAAUUUAAGUUAGAAGGGUUUAUCGGGUAUAAUAAUAGAAGCAAAUAAUCCCAAGAAAGGGUGAACGACGGUUAGCAGCCAUAUUUUGUAUUCACCUCUUUAAAGAAAAUUCGUGACCUCUUAUAGGUUUCCUUUCUAAUAUCUUUAGAAUUUGAUUAGAAACUAGUAAAUAAAUGUUGUGUAGUGAUUUCCUGUAAUCAUUGGCAUAGUUGACCAUACAAAGUAAUAUUAAAAUAGUAAUAUGAGAGAUAUGAGAUAUUCUUACAAUUUGUCCUUUUAUAUGGAUUGGGAUAAAUCAGUGGAUACAAAUUUAUAUUAGGAUAGCCGGUCAUAUUUUAAUGAUGAUUAUGGGUUUUUGGUGCCUGCAGUGUCAUGAUAGAACUAUUUUGUUCUUGGCAUCAACAGCAUGCCUCGGAGAUUUGGAACUAACAAUUGUUAUUUUAGACAGUAACGACAUAGUAAUAAUAAUUUCAUAAUCAUAUUGAGGUUUAAGCGUAGAAAAUCAUUGUGUUUAAUAUGGAUGGAUUUUAUAAUUUAACAUGUUAUCAAACCAUAUAUGUUUUGGGUUAUGGUUAUAUAUAUGUGCUCUAUUGAUAAAUUAUUCUGCACUAGCUAUUUGAUAUCAUUUAAUUUUAAUGGGAAUAGUCUUCUUACUAUUUCGUUAGUACAUAAGACUAGAAUGAAUAUUUUAUUUAGCUAAACAAUUCGUUCAUGGCUAUUUGAUUGGAUUGGACUCGAUGUUCCUGUUUUGGCUAUUUGAUUUACUCAAUAUUGGCCAUUGAAUUGACAUAUUAUAUUGUUUGCUCUCUAAAUCAACAGGAGAUACUAUUUUGAUUAUUUCAUAGGUCUUAAGGGUAAAAAUGUGUAAAAUGGGUGUCACUAGAUUCGUACUCUUAUUGGGAUUAUAGUUUGAACAACUUUGAAAUAUUCGGAAGCUUUAUGGAAGGGCAAAACCCUUGCACAUUAGCUUGCUUUUGAGUUCUUCGAUUGAGGUAGGUUAUGAUUUAAUUAGAGUUUAGAAUCAACUUGAUUGUGUGUAUGCUCCUAAAUUAGAUACUUGUUGAUUGGUAUUCGGAUAUGCUUGAAAUUGUUGAUGUUUGGACUAUUGAUUUGUGUAUAAAUGAUUAUUGAAAAUUUACUUGAUGGAAUUGUCUUAUGACUUUAAAUGUACUUGUAAACUUGGUGCAUUGUGUUGUAUGCUUGAGGUAGUUUAAAUUUGAUAUUGAUAUUACUUGUUUAUAUGUUGGAUCGGGUACCAUGCCGGUAUGGAUAUGUAUAUAUUGGAUCGGGUACCACACCAGUAUGAAUAUAUAUAUGUUGGAUCGGGUACCACGCCAGUACGGAUAUGUAUAUGUUGGAUCGGGUACCACGCUAGUACGGAUAUUUAUAUGUUGGGUUGGGUGCCACACCGGUGUGGAUAUGUAUAUGUUAGAUCAGGUACCACGUUGGAUCGGGUACCACACCGAUACGGAUAUGUAUAUGUUGGAUCAGGUACUACGCCUGUAUGGAUAUGUAUAUGUUGGAUCGGGUACCAUGUUGAUACGGUACAUGAACAUAGAUUGUUCCCUGCAGGUCAUGACUAUUUGGGUAAAAAUAAGCCCCAUAGCAUGUGUGUACGUAUUUAUAUUGAUUCUGUGGAUGUUUAUAGCAUGGUUGAUACUCUUGAUGGUUAUGUGGCUUAUUUGUGAGCACUGUUUGACCUAUUGUUGUUGUUGUUGUAUUGUUGAUUCAUUGAAUAUUUAUUUUGUGACGAUGCCUGUUUACUUGUUAUCUAAUUUAUGUUGUGUAAAUGCUAUUAAAUUGAGUUGGCCUAUGAUACCUACCAGUACAUAGUGGUUUGUACUGAUACUACCCUGUACUUUUCUUUUGUUGAGUGUAGAAAGUGUUCUUGGGACUCAGACAUGACCUCACCUCUAGAGUUUGAUAGUAGAUCUUGAUCCAAGGGUGAGCACUCUGUCUCCAGGAUGCCAUAGGUCAUCCUAUUUAUUCUGUCCAUCUUUCGGGCAAUGAAACAUUCUUUAUUUACUUUAUUUUUGGAUAUCCCUUUAGACAUGAUCUUUGUUAGUAGUUCUUGUACGAUGACUUUCGGAUCUUGAAAAUUUUAGUAAGUAGUUUGUUUUAAUUCCGUAUUAACAAUGAUUAGUCUUGAAUUAUUGUUAUUAUGUUGAUUUUAUAAUAAUAUUAUCUUAAUAUUGAUUAAGUGAUUGGGUAAUAGUUCGAUUUAGAUGGUUCUCCCACAGAAAGAUUAGUGUGGGUGCCACUUAUGGCCAUUUGGGUCAUGACAAAGUUGGUAUCAAAUCCCUAGGUUUGUCGAUCUCGUCGUAUAAGAACAUGUCUAGUAGAGUCUUGCAGAACGGUACGGAGACGUCUAGAGUCUUGCAGAACGGUACGGAGACGUCUGUACUUUCCUUCGAGAGUCUAUGAGACACUAGAAAAAUUUAAAUUCUUCUUCCUUAUGUGUUACUACUUGAUUUCAAUUGGUAUCUGACUUUUUUUCACUCUUAUUCUCGAAGAUGGGUGUGGUUGAGAGGUAUGGUAUAGAACUAGUUGUCACACCACUUUUUAAACUCCAAAAAAGAUUCGUUUUAAGUUCGAAAGGGUUUUUAUUAUCAACGUGACAAAAGAUAAAAAUUUUGUUUCGAAAAGAAUUCACUUUAAAAUUAACUCAGAGUCGCCACUUGGCAUAAUCCGGUGUGCCAAGUCACCUUUGAAAAAUCCUUUUCAAAACGAUUUGACUCUUUAAAACUGGUUUGCAAACAGAGAUUCCGGCUAAGAAAUUCUGUUGAUCGAGGGGAAGGUGUUAGGCACCCCUCGGUCUCAUGGUUCAACCACGGUCGCUUGGUAGAGCGUAUCGGCUAAUUUGCCAUUCUGAAUUUAUAAACCACACAAAACAAACAAAAAACAAACAAACAAACAAACGAAAACAAAACGAACCAAAAAUAUAGUGUCCAGUCCAAUUUAUACAUUCCAAAUAGAAAAAUGCAAAAAAUAAAUCUUAUCUAACCUAUACUAAUUCUAAAUUUGCUCUCGUGCAUAACCCGACGCCUCGGGCCUUCAUUAUAAAUGUUCUCAGGGUACAUAAUACUUUGAGGCAUUCCCCGGUGAAUGAACAUAAAUACCUCGGGGCAUUCCCCGGCCAAAUGAUACAUUCAAUCCCGAAAUCAAUAAAACCAAACCGUUCACACUCAUUUCAAGCAUUCAAUAAUUCAACGAGCAAAACUUAUUCCUAAAUCUUUGCCUACCCGAGCCUACUUUUGUCUAUUCAUUAGGCCUACCAUGAUACUAUCACGUCAAUGAUAUUCAAUGAAUCAAAAUAAAUUAACGCUUGCUUUUUUAUCAAUUUCAAUUCCUACCCCCCUUAAAAAAUAGCUUCCUUUUCAAUCAAUCAAUGAUUAAUUGAUCUUUCAGUUUAGCACCUUUUCAAAAUUCAAAACCAACAUCCAUACAUCAACCAACGAAAAUUCAAACAUAUGAAUCAUUAAUACCCAUCACAACAGUUAAGACCACUAAAAUUAUCAAGAAAUCACGCCAAGGCCAUAUUUGAACUAAUAAAGAGAUAGAGUUGAGAAAAUGAACCUUUGAAUAUUACAAUGAUAUCAAUGUUUAAGAAAACCAGACUCGAAACGCUCGAAUAGAAACUCUCAACAGCGUCAAGAUCAUAACUAGAAUCGAUAAACAUCAGUCCAAAAUUGACCACAAUAACCUGACUAAGACCCAAAAUAGAAAUUCCAACCCGAUCGACGACACGAUUUGAUAAUAAAAAAAACCUCCAAGACCAUCAAUAACAACGAACAACAAACAUAGAUGAAACAAAAAAAAAACUCCCAACGAUACGAUAGAAAUCGAGAUCCAAGAGAUUCCGGCGAAGUAGUCGCCGGAACAGUGACCAAACCUGCAAAACCCUUUUCCGAAUAACUUCAAAUCUACCCUUUUUUCUUCCCCGUUACAGAUCCACCCUCAAUUUCUCUCUCACGUGCGAGUCUCUCGAUAUUUUUGGUCAAACUCUCCACUACCUGAUUGUCUAUUCCGGUUGUGUGUUCUGUGUGCGUGAGUGAGUGUGAAUUAGUGAGGUGUAGUAUAUGAGAUUGUGUGCAUGCGAGUUACUGUGUAAAAGAAAAGACGGCCCCAAAAUUGGAGUCCGUCAGUGUUUUUUUUUUUAAUGAAGAAGAUCAUGUUCUUGGUGUGUUAUGUGUAGAUGAUGAUAAGAGCAAGAACCAGAAAAAUUGUGAGGCCUACCCCCCCCCCUUUCUCUCGUGCACUGUGUGUGUAUAUAUUUCAAAAGGAAAGAAAAAUAUUUUUGGAGACUUAUGGGUCCAUCCCCCUAGGUAAUUUCCUGGAAAGUUCCCUGGGUCCUUUCUUUGUUAACAAGCAAAAUAAGAGAGGGAGUGAGGGGUCACGUGAGGUAGGGGAUAGGAGGGGUAGGGGUUCGGAUGUGUUGUCAAUUUUUAAUAGGUUGAGUUGUUGGAAUCUUUAAAAUAAGACAAAAUUAGUUAGGUUUGUUAAAUGGGUUAAAAACAAAACAAAACAAAUAAAUAAAUGAGUAAAAGAUGAGGUGGUUAUUUAUUUUCUUGGGGAAAAAUUACUAUGUGGAUAGGGUAUGUAGUAAAAUGAGGUAAACGAUAAAAUGUGUGAAGGGACAAAAUUACGUGUCUACAUCAUGCCCCCUUUGAAUGUAAACACCUAGUGUUUUCAUACAAAGAAGUAGACAACGAGACAGAAUUUUGUCCCAAUCAUUAUUCGAAGAAAGAAACAAAAGAAAGAAAGAGAACCGAGUCUUGACGGACAUCCUACCUACCCAUGUUAUGAGGGAAUCAAGUGACUGGUAUCUCCAAGGGUUGGAAGGAGAGGAACUAUACCGAGUUGGAGAGUCGAGUGAGGUUCCAUCGAGGUUUUGGUCCGCGGCUCUGUCAUUACAUCAAAAAUAAAAAUUACACGUUAAAACAUCAAUGAAAUUACAAAAUCCUAUCUAUGGAGCUUUCUUUGACUAUUUACUCGCUACUCCAUCACCUUAUUCUUCAGGCGGGCUCCUGACUUGCAAUUUCUUCACCCUGUUGCUUGACUUUUAACUUCUUCACCCUGUUCUUCAGGCGGGCGUCUGACUUGCUAUUUUUCUUUCGAUUUCUUCACCUUGUUGCUUGACUUUCCACUUUUCACCCUAUUUUCAAGUGGAACCCUGACUUUUAAUUUCAUCACCCUGUUCUUCAGGCGAGUUCUUGACUUUCCAUUUCAUCACCCCAUUCUUUAGGCGAGUUCUUGACUUAUAAUUUCGUUACCCUGUUCUUCAGGCGGGCACCUGACUUACAGCUUCAUCACCCUGUUCUUCAGGUGGGCUCCUGAACUCAAAAUAAAAGCUAGAAAUAAAAUUAUCCCAAACGAAGAUUAUGAUAAAGAAAAAUUUCACUUUUUCCUAAAAGUAAUGUCCCAUUUUCCAGGAGGGUCCUGAACAUAAAGUAAAUUCCCAUUUUUAAAGAGGGUCCUGAACAGAAAGUAAAUUCCCAUUUUUCAGGAGGGUCCUAAACACAAAGUAAAGUCCCAUUUUUCAGGAGGGUCCUGAACAGAAAGUAAAAUUCCAUUUUUUAGGAGGGUCCUGAACAGAAAGUAAAAUUCCAUUUUUCAGGAGGGUCCUAAACAGAAAGUAAAAUCCCAUUUUUCAGGAGGGUCAUGAACAGAAAGUAAAAUCCCAUUUUUCAUGAGGGUCCUGAACAGAAAGUAAAAUCCUAUUUUAAGGAGGGUCCUGAACAGAAAGUAAAGUCCUCAUGGAUGUGUUUUUCCAAUGGUAACUGAAUUAAAUGAAGUGAAUUUGCCCCUAUUUCAACAAAGAAAAUUUGUCAGUUAAAAACUUAGUGGUGGCUUGUAGCACUUGGCUUCCCAGGGAUCUGCUCCAACCAUUGUUCCUUUCACCUUUGUUUCAGAUCACUGAAACUUAUCUCUGUCUUGUCGCAUCAUUGACCCAGAUCCAAAUUGAGGGAAAUGAGUUUUGACUCGAACAAUGAGUCUCCAUUUUACCAUGCCUCUGAGAUGCACCCUUUUCCAAAUCUUAAUACUCCCACGAAUCCAGCAGCCUGUCGGUUGAUAGACUUCCUUUUCUUUGUGUUGAAUUACGAUCAUAUUUCUUUCAUGUGCUGGUCCUUGGCUUUUCCUCAGAAAAUUGGAAAGACUGGUAGCAAGUUUUGAAAUCUUUUCUCGCUUGUUUUGACACAGACUUGACUUAAAAUGUAGAGAAAUGAUGGUGACUGUUAUUUUGAUAAAUGACAUAAAAAGACAAAAUAUGAAUAUGUAAUGAAAGAAAAAGGAAAUGUCCCUUAUUCAAAAAGAAAACUUAUCUGAAUACGGCAACCAAUUCCAAUGAGUAUGACAUGCAUUUUGGAUUAAGCUGCCUGAUCUUCCUAUCCAAACUUCCCAUUUUUUGUUGAGUUCAUGCCUUUGCCACUGAGCCACUUCUUCAAAUCCAUUGGACUCACAUAACUCAUUCAAUUGAAAACAACUUAAAAGACUUUCGCCAACAAAUCUCUUUCCUUUUCACUUUUCUCUCAAACUCGCCAUCGCCUUACGGUGCCCAUAAGGGUUUUCACCAAUAAGACUCUCAUUUUUAUUUCUCUCAGCUCCCCAUCGUCUUAUAGUGCUCGUGAGGGUUUUCACAAGUAUGAAUCUCUCAUUUUUAUUUCUCUCGACUCACCAUUGCCUUAUGGUGCCCGCGAGGGUUUUCACUAAUAAGACUCUCAUUUUUAUUUCUUUCCUGAUUUUUUAUACUGGGGAAGACAAGUAGUACCCAACAAUGUAUCAUUAUAACCAUUGCAUGCUUAGUCUUAACAUUAUCAAAGAUUGAUUUGAAGGACUUUCUUUGGUUGUAGCUUGGCUUUGGAUAAGGUUAGGAAAGGAUGACAAGAGACUCAAACGAUACUUGAAGUGGGGGUGGGAGUUACAACUUUUGAAAUCGACUCAAACAACACAUUAACUCAUGCCCCAGUUUUUGUUGACUGGUACCAGAAUCUAAAAUCUUUAUUUGGUUGGACCGAGCCCUGAAUAGGGAAGCCUAUGUAUCUCACCCCCAAGAGAGGAGAAUCAGGUCGUACAUAGUUCCAUCAGCUUGUUCUUUGUUUUGAUCUAAUUUUCUCUUCUCUUUUUUUUCUUUUAUUAUUAUUUAUUUAUUUUUAUUAUUUUUUUAUUGACAUUUCACUUUUUGCUUUGUUUUGAUUCCAAAAGAGGGAUAUGAAAGAAAAAGAGGACUAAGCUCAAACGGGGUAAACAAAGAAUGUCACAAUGUUUGGAUAACAGAAUGAAAUGCCUUCAUCAUAUCAAUCUUCAAAAAUGCAAGUACUAGACAUGUACUAAAAUCAACAAAGGAUAAAAUAUCAUACAUAAUAUCUUUUGACCGCAUCAACAUUGAUAGCCAUUUCUGCCAUUUUGCCUUCAAUAUCUGUCAAAUAUAAGGCUCCAUUGGGCAACACUUUCUUCACCAUGAAGGGACCUUGCCAAUUAGGGGAGAACUUGCCUUUUGCUUCAACCUGAUGAGGAAGAAUACAUUUCAAUACCAACUGACCAACUUCAAAAUUCCUGGGACGUACCUUUUUGUUAUACGCUCAAGCCAUUCUCUUCUGAUACAAUUGGCCAUGACAUACCGACUUCAAUCUUUUUUCAUCAAUCAAACUCAAAUGUUCCAAUUAGGUUUUGGCCCACUCAUCAUCAUCAAUCUCUGAUUUCACAAUGACUUAAAGAGAGGGAAUUUCAACUUCAGUGGGAAUGACUGCUUCUGUCCCGUACACCAAUAAAUAUAGAGUUGCCCCUGUUGAAGUGUGAACAGUAGUGCGAUACCCUAGCAAUGCAAACGGCAACUUCUCAUGCCAUUGUCUAUAUCCUUGCACCAUUUUCUGUAGUAUUUUCUUGAUAUUCUUAUUGGCAGCUUCCACCGUGCCAUUUGUCUUUGGAAGAUAUGGAGUGGAAUUUUGAUAUACGAUCUUAAACUGUUGGCAUACUUCUUGAAUCAAAUGUCUAUUGAGAUUGGCAGUAUGUCUGUAAUGAUCAUCUUUGGAAUUCCAAACCUACAAAUGAUGUUGGCAUGAAAGAAAUCUACUACCGCCUUCUUUGUUACCGACUUGAAAGUUACUGCUUCUACCACUUUGUGAAGUAAUUAAUGGCCACCAGAAUAAACCUAUGCCUAUUUGAUGCUUUUGGCUCAAUCAGUCCAAUCACGUCCAUUCCCCAGGCUAUGAAAGGACAUAGAACAACCAUUGCGUGCAACUCAGUUGGAGAAGAAUGUAUUAGAUCACCGUGUACCUGACAUUGAUGACACUUGAGAACAAAUCGAAUAGAAUCCCUCUCCAUAGUGAGCCAGUAAUAGAGAAUCUUCUUUGAUAAGACAUAACCGUUCAUAUGAGGCUCGCAUACUCUGGAGUAAACUUCAACAAUGAUUGCCGAAGCUUCUUUUACAUAUACAUACCUCAAAAGUCCCAGAUCCGGGGUUCUCUUGUAUAAGACUCUUCCACUUAAGAAAAAUCCACUAGCCAAAUGCCUAAUAGUCCUCUUUUAAUCAUUGGUGGCAUGUGCUGGGUAUUCUCCUGACUGGAUGUACUGCUUGAUAUAAAAGAACCAAGGUUCUCCAUGGAGCUCUUCUUGAACUGCAUUACAAUAAGUGUGUUGAUCAUGACUCUGAAUAUGCACUGGAUCGAUGUAGGCCUUAUCAGGAUGUUGGGGCAUCGAAGAUAAAGUGGCCAACCCAUCAGCAAUCUCAUUGCAAAUUCUUGGAAUAUUCCUAAACUUUACAGACACAAACCGUUGACAUAGAUCUUUCAAGCAUUGUCAAUACGGUAUUAGCUUUAAAUCUUGCGUCUCCCAAUCACCUUGAAUCUGAUAGUCGAGCAAAUCUAAAUCCCCAACACUAUUAGUUCCUGGACUCCUAUAUCAACAACUAGCCUCAACCCAGAAUGCGAGCUUCAUAUUCUGCCAUGUUAUUGGUACAAUAAAAUCGAAGUUGUACUGUUACCGAAAAAUAUUGCCCCACCUCAGAGAUAAGAACAACACCUAUUCUAACUCCCUUGACGUUAACAACUCCAUCAAAGAACAACUUUCAACCUGGAUCAACAUCUAUAAUGACUUCAUCGACACACAAUACCUCUUCAUCUGGAAAAUAUGUCUUUAAUGGGUCAUACUCUUCAUCAAUGAGAUUCUUAGCAAGAUGAUCUGCUAAGGCUUGGUAUUUCAUGGCGGUUCGAGUCACAUAUACAAUGUCAAACUUGGUAAGCAAUAUUUUCCACUUUGCCAAUCAACUCGUUGGCAUAGGCUUAUGAAAUAUAUACAUCAACAGAUCUAUGCGGGAGAUGAGAUAAGUAGUAUAAGAUGAAAGAUAAUGCUUAAAAUUUUGUUCUACCCAAGUCAGGGCACAACACGUUCUUUCAAGAAGUGUGUACUUGGCUUCAUAUGUUGUGAACUUCUUGCUAGGUAAUAAAUAGUUUAUUCCCUUUUGCCCGUGACAUCAUGCUAACCCAAGACACAACUAAAGGAAUUGUCCAUGACUGAUAAAUAUAUGAUCAAAGGCCUACCAGGAUCCGGUGGUACCAGCACGGGCGGAUUUAACAGAUAUCUUUUGAUUUUAUCGAACACUUCCUGGCAUUCUUCAAUCCACUCUACCACAACACUCUUUUUCAGCAACUUGAAAAUGGGCUCACACGUGGUUGUGAGUUGAGAAAUAAACCUGCUGAUGUAGUUCAAUCUACCCAGGAAACUUAUCACCUCCGUCCUAUUCUUGGGUGAAAGCAGAUCUUGGAUGGCUUUGAUUUUCGAGGGAUCCAAUUCAAUUCACAGAUGGCUGACUACAAACCCCAACAACUUUCCAGACGGAACUCCAAAUACAAAUUUUGCUGGAUUGAGCUUGAGAUUAUACCUGGGAAGCCUUCUAAAGAACUUUCUUAAAUCUUUUACAUGGUCAACCUGGCUCUUUGAUUUAAUAAUUACAUCAUCUACAUAGACUUAAAUAUCCUUAUGCAUCAUAUCAUGAAACAUGGUGGUCAUGGCUCUCAUGUAUAUUGUUCCAGCAUUCUUCAAACCGAAUGGCAUCACUUGAUAAAAUAAGUACCCCACAGUGUGAUAAAAGACGUCUUUUCCACGUCUUCAUCAUCCAUAAUGAUCUGGUGGUAUCCAGCAUAACAAUCCACAAAAAAGGCUACCUCAUAUUUAGCGCAAUUGUUCAGCAAAAUAUGGAUGUUGGGCAGCGAAAAAUCAUUAUUCGGACUUGCUCUGUUCAAAUCAAGGUAAUCAACACAUACUCGAAUUUUGUCAUCUUUCUUUGGGACAGGAACAACAUUGGACAACCACGUAGGAUAAAGAGCCACUCGAAUGACUUUGGCUUUCAGUUAUUUCAUAAUUUCCUCUUUGAUUUUAAUACUUACAUCAGUUUUAAACUUCCUCAACUUCUAUUUCACAGGGAGGGGAAGGCAGGAUCAGUUGGCAAUUUAUAAGACACUAAUUCAGUGGUUAAACCGGGCAUAUCAUCAUAAAACCAUACAAAAACAUUCUUAUAAUCAAUUAAUGCUUGAACCAUGCCCUCUUUUAGCUGUGGCAAAGCAUGUACACUAAUUUUAGUUUCCCUAACAUCUUCUUGAUUCCCUCGAUUAAUUGGGUCAAUUUCAUUCAAAUUAGGAUUUGAAUUGUCUUCAAAUUGUUUCAACUCUUUGCUUAUUUCUUCUAGUGCCUCUUAUUCAUCAUAUUCCCCUCUUGCUUCAAUAUAUCUUGAUUAGUUUGGAUUUUAAGAUUAGGCUAAAAAUUUCACAUGCAUGUCAUGUCAUUAGAGUCAGCAUAAAGAGAACUGUAUAAAGAAAAGACAAAACAAAAUACAUUAGACAAAAAAUAAAAGGGACAUUACAUUUCAUUAAAAGGGAAAGGUAGGAGGGUUUAAACACAAACAACAGAAUAUAAACAAGCUAAAUUCUGAGUUACAACCCUGGAAUAACUCAAAAAACUGAAAGGAAAACAAAAUAAACUAUCAAAACAGCCUCCUGAUGGGGAGAGGAGUGACUUCCCAAUUGUUGAGACAGACAAUUGGAACUAUGAACUGCACAUCUUCCUUACUGGUACCUUCUCCUGCUUCAACCAUGUCAACUUCAAUCAAUAGGUUCUGGAAGUCAUCAACCAAUUUAGCUUUAAAUUCUACAUGCUUUAUGACACCGCUCUUGACAAAUGACUCACUGAGUAGCGGCGUUGGGUGAGGGAGUGACCAUGUUUCCUUUUUCCUUUCCUUGGCCUCCUUCAGAUCUUCAGUCGUAGGUUCAAAACCCAGACCAAAAGUGCCUAUGUUCUCCCUCGGACAUAUAGGACGAACUAUACCAUACAGAGACACUCCCAAACCUUUUCCUGGCACAAAUCCAUACUUCAACAUCUCAUUCACCAUCAUGAAAGAAGUAGAAGACAAUCGUGGUCCCGACAUAACCUUCUCCUCAAGAAUAAGAUCCACCGACACUGUAUCAAACGACUGAUAGAUAAAUGUAUCCUCUACACUAAUUGCUUCAAUAAGAGGGAUGAGAGAAUCUUUGUGGGCGGACAAAUCCCUUUUGCCAUGAAUAACCACUUCUUGCCUGUCAUGCUCAAACUUGAUCAUCUAGUGCAAUGUAGAUGCAACAGCCCCAACUUUGUGGACCCAUGGUCUUCCCAACAACAGAUUGUAUGAGGAGUCAAUAUUCAUCACUUGGAGCUCUAUGGAAAAUUCAACAGGCCCUAUAAGCAACAUUAGUUAUAUUUCGCCAAUGAAGUCUGUUUUAGCCCCAUCGAAAGUCCUGACACAUACAUUAUUCGGCCUAAUCCUCUCGACACCGAUGUUCAACUUUUGUAGUGUAGAUAUAGGGCAAAUAUUUAUGCCAGAACCUCCAUCAAUCAUGACAUGAGUGACGCAGAAAUCUUAACACUUCACGGUAAUGUAAAGACCCUGGUUAUGCCCCGUACCUUCAACUGGAAAUUUGUUAUCAGAGAAGCUGAUUCGAUUUACUUCAAAGAUUUUUUCGACUAUUUUCUGAAGCUGAUUUAUCGUAAUCUCCUUAGGAAAGUACGCUUUGUUUAAUACCUUCAGUAUAAUGUCACGAUGUUCCUUGGAAUGCAACAACAAAGAUAAGAGGGAAAUUUGAGCAGGGGUCUUCUUCAACUGAUCUAUUAUUGAAUACUCUGGAAAUUUCAUCUUUUUCAAAAAUUCUUCAACUUCUUUUUCGGUGACAGGCUUCUUGACAGAUGAAGGCCCACUUACCCCUGGCUUGGGCUUCAUCAAACCUUUAAGCACGAAGCAUCUUCCUGACCGAGUCAGACCCCCUAUCACAUCUACUUCUUCCUCGACUUUCUUUCCUUAAUAAGUCAUCACAGUCUGCUUAUAGUUCUAGGGUACCUUUUUCGUAUCAACUGUCGGAGGUUGGGUCACCGGUUUGAUGAUAAUAGGCGCUGCAAGUACUCCUUUCACUGUCAAGAUAGGCUUACCCGGAGCUCCUAUCACCAUUAAAUUAUGCUCGUCUUAACUUAGACCAACAUUUUUUCUGGCUCCUUGCACCACAAUCACAGGUUUCUUUGUGCUUUCUUGGACUUUAUCUUCUCCCAUUCCUUCCUGGCUUAAUGACAUUGCUUUCAAUGAAUCUUCAACAUUCACCUAUUUGUCCUCCUUGGUUUGUAUUCUGACAAUAGGCUUAUAACACAUUGAUGACUCUUUGCCAUCAUAUAUCAACUCCAAUAUAUUAGUUUCAGCAUGGUUGGCAAUGGAUUCUGGUUAAUGUUUGGAAUUUACAGGGCCUGGACUAGAAGUUGAUUUGCAUCAAUUAAAUCUUAGAAAACUCUCUUCAAAUGCCAGCAUUUCUCGAUGUCGUGCCCCGGCAUAUCAAAACAAUACGCAUAUCUUAAUGAAUAAUCAAGAUUUCUCGGAGGUGGAUUCAAAAGCCUUCCUUGAAUUAGGCUCAAUACCUUCAAAUUCCUCAACCUAGGUUGGAAAGCGGGUUUGGAGGGUUUUUGGUAAUUUGGAGGAGCUGAAGGACGAUUUUGAGGAGCUUAUGCAUGCCAUUGUGGGUAAAAAAGGGUUUGAGCAUAUGCUUGUGCGCUAUUUACUGGGUACGGGGGUGGUGGAAUGGAAUAUAGUGGGUUUUGUAGGGGAUAGUAAUGAUGGGAAAGAAUAUAUGGAGCUUGGGCAUAGGCUUGGGCUUGGGGUUAGUGAUAGGGGCAAGGUGGUCUUUUGGGAUAGGAAUGGGAUAUAGCUAUAAUGGUUGCCACCUCCUCUUUCUUAUUUUUUACCUCCAAAAGUUCCAGAGCCACCUUGAAUUGCUUGGGUGAUGGCUUUUAAUGCGGCAAAACUCAUAAUCCAUCUAGUCUUGUUUCUGUCCUCUAUCAUCUCUCCCAUUUUUAGGACUUCAAUAAAUGACUUUCUCAUCGCCGGAAGUAAAUGUUGAAAAUAGGUCUCAUCCUAUGCCAGAAUGAAGACCUCUACUAACUUACUCUCCUUCAUUGGAGGUUUUACCCUUGCGGACUGUUCACGCUAUCUUAUCGCGUAUUCCCAAAAACCUUUAGUACUUUUCUUUUUCAUAUUGACCAGGGAUUUCUCAUCAGGAACCAGAUCGAUGUUAUAUUGAAAAUAUUGCACAAAUUCAUUAGCUAGGUUAUCCCAGUUGUUCCAAUUGUCAAUAUCCUGAUCGAUGAAACAUUCUAAAGCCAGACCGGAAAGACUCUCACCAAAGAAAGCCACAAACAACUCUUCUCUUCCCCCUGCAGCCCUCAAUUGGUUGCAAUAACGUCUCAAAUGCGCCACGGGAUCACCGUUUCCCUCGUACUUCUCAAAUUUGGUCAUUUUAAAACCAAGGAGAAGGUUAACGUCUGGGCAUAUGCAAAGAUCUCUAUAGGAAACACUCUUAUAACCCCCGAUUCCUUGUAAAUUCCUCAUGGCCUGUUCUAAAAUUUUCAAUUUCCACGCUAUGACUUCUUGUUCCUCUAUUGUAACUAGCUUCUCUGUAUCAAAUGGAAAUGCAGGUGGAUGAGUGUACCCAUAUGGUUCAUUCAUCUUCAAAGUAGGUUCCAGGGCAUAAUACUGAUUAUCUGAAACCUUCAAUACUGGCUCACUAACAGACUGAAGGAGUACCAUUGUCGGACGUACAGUAUAGAUUGGAGCUUUAGGUGGUGGCGGAGCCACGAACACAGGCGCUGCCGGUGGCUCCGAAUGAGUCACGGGCCUUAGUUGAGGAACUGCUAGGGGAACACUAUAAGUGCCAGGGUAAUAUUGCCGUGGAGUGAAUCCGUUGACUCAAUGGGAACAGUGAAUUGCGCCUAAGAGAGCUGUGGGCAAUUAGGGAAAUUCCCAAGAUCUUUAGGGAGUGGAGGAGGAGGCAUGCCACUAGCCCAUGCUCGGUGAAGAUCUAGCAAUUGUUGUCUAAGUCUUAAUACCUCAUCAUUGCGUUCUAAACUUUCUUUCCUGGGAUCCUGAUCUGGGUCAAUGAGUGAAUUUUCAAUCUCCCUACUAGACAUGACAAGCUUAUCUUUUGAUCUAGUGAAGUACAGAUGCCUAGACAAAGUGCUACAAAGCAACCACUUAUCUGAAAGAACAUGCUCAUCAAAGGCAAAACCCAUUAGGAUUAGGUCAGGAAACAAGCAUAGAAAUCACAUAGUAUACAUCAUAGGUUUAUGUACAUUUCUACUGGCCUUUGAGGGUACUGAGGCCAUUUUAACAUCAUCCCGAUUUUCUCAUUACAUUAUCACACCUCGUUCUUUCUGCUUUUCACCUUCACUUCUUCCUUCUUUUGCAUCAAUUUCUUCUCUUCCUCUUUUCUUCUCUCAUUGCUAUUUCUUUCUUUUCUUCUCUCGCUAUCUCAUUUCUUUUUGUCAUUCUUUAUGGGUUUUGCUUUUCUUUAAAAGAGGAAAAUAAUGAAAAACAAAGAAACAAAAUGAUUAGAUCGAACCCAAAAGUAGGUUGCCUACGUAUCAUAUUAAUGAAUCAGAUCUUGCGUAGUUCGGGAGACAUAUGCACAAAUAUCACAUAAUUGAAGAUUUUUGAUUUUUGAUUUUUUUUUUUGGCGAAAAACAAACAAAAGAAAAAACCAACAUCACUACAUUUCAUAAAAGGGAUGACUCAAACAUACUUCAAAUUUAAGACAAACUUAAAACUAAUCAACGAAAACUAAACAACACUCUAGACAUAUAGGACAACAUGCGUAACAUUCCUUAUAAAGACCCUAGCGUUAAAACAAACUGGACAUCGACUUAACAAAGACACAAUACUACAAUGGCAGAAAAGUAAAGGACUCAAACUAAACAAAAGAUAAGAAAUGCUCUUUCAAACUGGUGCGUCGUGUGAUGACCCUGGAUGAGAUGGACCUUUCUGUGAAAUUCUACUCAAACUAUAUAGCAUAUCUUGCAAGGACAGUUUGAUAUUUUGGAAGAAACUUCUAGCACGUAUUCCUGCCUCAUGGGGAGUGCACCUGAAAAGACUGUUCUGACAUAUUUCCACAGUUGCGAGCAAACCUGAUAACUGAACUCUCAACUCCUCCACUUUGAUCCCCGCACCCUCAUCUUGACGAACAUCAACUAUGCAUUCUUCCUGUGUUCUUCCUCUAAGCUGUGCUGGUAAUGGUCUACUGAUACCCCGAGGCAUGGACUCUAGCCAGAUCUCAUAUCUCUGAGUGUACCCCGGAUUAUCCAAACCUUUUUUAAGAGUGUCUACACCUAGCAUUGUUGCAUGCUUCCAUAACUGCUCGUAUUUCCUCUCACCUAAGGCUUGGUCCUUGAAGUACUCAACAUUCUUUAGAAGAUCCACUACUGUUUGCACGUCCUGCGGCCUGCCCAACUGGCGCAUUAUCCUAGAAGGACUGUAUGGUCUAGUGCAAUUGAGUCCUAACAUAACUAUAAGGAGCUGCAUCUGACAACCAAACAAGAUUAUUUUUGGGCGAAGCCACAGAUAAGUCUACAAAAUGUUAUCCUCGGUUCUUGACUCAAGAAAUUCAAUCCAAGCAUCGACUCCCACGAGUUGCGAGAAUUUAUCAAAGCGCCACCUGAGGUCCAUGACUUUCACUCGAUUGGGAACACAACUAUCAACCAUGUCUGGUCUAACUAAAGAAGGCGCAUGCAAAUGCUCCAUCAUCCACAACUACAAUAUCAGGUUACUGCCCUCCAAAAAUCUCAUCCCCCGUUUACUUCGGUUAAAGCGUUAUAUAUUUCUGUUAAGAUCAUGGGUAUAAUAGUGAACUUUUCCUUUUGAUUAGUGACCUUGACCUUUUGAUUAACGAUCUUGCCUUUUUGAUAUGUGAUAUUGUCUUUUUUAUCCUUAUGAAAUAGAGCCAUUACCACAGAUUGCAAGCGUGUAUUAAUACGCCUUUCUUCUAGCGGAAACACUAAAGUGCCUAACAGAGCGAGGGUGAAGACUUCAAGAUGUUUUCUUUCCCAAUUAUGCUUAGUCAUAUAAAAUUCAUCCCAAAAGUAGUCAAAACCUUUCAAGGACCCAAACCUAGCGAAUAAAAAGUCAAAGGAAAUCCAUGAUUGAUUCAGAUAACCCAAAUGCUUGUUGUUACUCUUUAACCCACAACCUUGUAGAAAUUUAUUGCCCGAGUGAUUCUGAGCUCGGAUCAUACUCUUAUCGAUAUAAGGCAAAUAAAGCAUACCGAAUAUUUCUGCCAAGGUAGGAGUCAUUCAUAGUUUCCGAACCUGAACACCACACUACUAGGAUCCCAAAAGGUUAACAUAGCAUCUAUUAGAUCUGGCCGAGGUGUAAGAUAUAGAAGCUCCAUAGGAUCACCUAGUAUCUUAAUUACCUCUUGCUUAUUAGUACAGUUGGACGUGCCCCACCACUUGAUUAACUUUUUGGGUACUUUGGAAACCAUCAAGUCUCUAGAACCUAUGGGAUUCAUCCUGUAAGAACAAACCAUACUCAAAAUUCAAAACAAGAGAAAGAGCUCCCGACCCUCGGGAUUUUAGCUUAGAGAAAUAUCAUAUGACAUAGAGGGACAGAUCGACCUAUAACUUAAAUAUACCGAACAGUACCGCCGAAUGAAAUCAGCCUACUUGGCAAGGACCAGUUGACAACACUAGAUUACGAGGAGAAAGACCCUAGCCUAAGAUCGAGAUGAAGAUCAAGGUAAAAAGAUUACCGGACCUGCCGAGGGUUGCCUACGUAUCCCACCUCGAGGGACGAGAAUCAGGUAUGCGUAGUUCAUCCAGAUUAGACAAUUAAGGACUACAAUGAACUAAGACUUGACCUAAUAGGUGGGAUUACAGACGGACGAUGGAAAUAACAUCUUUUUGGGUUUUUUAAUAAACACUUUACAUAAAAAUAGUACCACUAUGAAAUUAAAAUCUUUUUGGUAUUUUCAUGAAAUGUACAAAACUCCUACAAUUUUUUUCCAAUUUUGUUUUAUAAAAACUCCUAUGAAUGAAAAAUCUUUUUGAAGUUUUCGAAUUGUGAAUGCAUGCUAAACGAGACAAAGGAACAUUUUUUUUGAUGUUUUUGUUUUUGAGAAAUGAGUGCUAAAGGUAAAAGUUUUUUUUUUCUUCUGAAUUUUUGGAUUGUGAAAAACAAAAGCCAUAAAGAACUCGAAAAACUACGAAACUCUUUCUUUUUUCUUUUUCUUUUCUUUUUUUCCAUUACCCAUACACUUUACUUCUAACACAUGUUUCCCCAAAUUAGUCCGUCAAAUGACCAUGUUACCCUCAAAGAUGCAACAUUUAGCACGUUGGGAUGUUUUAGAGGUGAGUAUCCUAUGAAGGACCAAGUAGGCCCCGCUAAGUCUCGACAUGAUGCACAUAAACAUGACCAGAAGGUAAUAUGACCUGAAGGCUAACCUACGCUGGGGUUCACUAACAAGGCUGUUCGGGGGAGCGUAUGAUUGAUAGUGGCUGCGGCAGCUUUCCAUCUACUCCAUAUAACCCAACGGCUCCCCCAUUCUAAAAUAAGGGUGACUCAACUAUAGGUCGUGUACACACGUGUACUACAGACUUGUUGCAGAAAGAAUGACUCGGGUUAUGCACAUGACGUCAUAUAUAAAAAAGUAACAUAUUAAAUAAAAACUGUAAACAAAGAGCACGUAGGCACUCACCAAUGAUAAACAAUAACACAAAAUAACACAAACAAAAUGUCUAUACACCUAUAAUGCCAAACUAAGACGAUACAACUCCAAAAUAAGCUUGAAUUCUAAAAAGUGCUCCCCAGCGUAGUCGCCAGAGCUGUCACACCCUUUAUAAACUCCAAAAAAGAUUCAUUUUAAGUUCGAAAGGGUUUUUAUUAUCAACGUGACAAAAGAUGAAAAAAAUUUCAAAAAGAAUUCACUUUACAAUUAACUCAGAGUCGCCACUUGGCUUAAUCCGGUGUGCCAAGUCACAUUUAAAAAGUCCUUUUUAAAAUGAUUUGACUUUUUAAAACUGAUUUGUGAACAGAGAUUCCAGCUAAGAAAUUCUGUUGAUCGAGGGGAAGGUGUUAGGCACCCCUCGGUCCCGUGGUUCAACCACGAUCGCUUAGUAGAGCGUAUCGGCUAAUUUGACAUUAUAAAUGUAUAAAACACACAAAACAAACAAAAAACAAUAAAACAAACAAAGAAAACAAAACGAACCAAAAAUACAGUGUCCAGUCCAAUUUAUACAGUCCAAAUAGAAAAAUGCAAAAAAUAAAUCCUAUCUAACCUAUACUAAUUCCAACUUCGCUCUCGUGCAUUACCCGAUGCCUCGGGCCUUCAUCACAAAUGUUCUCAGGGUACAUAAUACUUUGGGACAUUUCCCGAUGAAUGAACAUAAAUAGCUUGGGGUAUUCCCCGGCCAAAUGAUACAUUCAAUCCCGAAAUCAAUAAAACCAAACCGUUCAACACGUAUUUCAAGCAUUCAAUAAUUCAACGAGCAAAACUUAUUCCUAAAUCUUUGCCUACCAGAGCCUACUUUUGCCUAUUCAUUUGGCCUACCAUGAUACUAUCAUGUCAAUGAUAUUCAAUGAAUCAAAAUAAAUUAACGCUUAUUUUUUUAUCAAUUUCAAUUCCUACCCCCUCCUAAAAUAGUUUCCUUUUCAAUCAAUCAAUGAUUAACAGAUCUUUUAGUUUAACACCUCUUCAAAAUUCAGAACCAACAUCCAUACAUCAACCAACAAAAAUUCAAACAUAUGAAUCAUUCAUACCCAUCACAAUAGUUAAUACCACUAAAAAUCUCAAGAAAUCACGCCAAGGCCAUAUUCGAAAUAAUAAAGAGAUAGAGUUGAGAAAAUGGACCUUCAAAGAUUACGAUGAUAUCAAUGUUUAAGAAAACCAAACCCGAAAGAUAAAAUAGAAACUCUCAAUAGAGAUAAGAUCAUAACACGAAUCGAUAAACAGCAGUCCGAAAUUGACCACAAUAACCUGACUAAGACCCAAAAUAGAAAUCCCAACCCGAUCGAUGACAUGAUUUGAUCACAAAAAAACCUCUAAGACUGUCACUGACGAUGAACAACAAACGUAGACAAACCUAAAAAAAAACUCCCAACGACACGACAAAAAUCGAGAUCCAAGAGAUUUCGGCGAAGUAGUCGCUGGAACAGUGACCAAACCUGCAAAACCCUUUUCCGAAUAACUUCGAAUCUACCCUUUUUUCUUCCUUAUUAUAGAUCGACCCUCAAAUCCCUCUCUUGCGUGCGAGUCACUCAAUAUUUUCCCUCAAACUCUCCACUACCUGAUUGUCUAUUCCAGUCGUGUAUUCUGUGUGCGUGAGUGAGUGUGAAUCAGUGAGGUGUAGUAUAUGAGAGUGUGUGUGUGUGAGUUACUGUGUAAAAGAAAAGAAGGCCCAAAAAAUAAAGUCUGUCAGUGUUUUUUUAAUGGAGAAGAUCAUGUUCUUGGUAUGUUAUGUGUAGAUGAUGAUAAGAGCAAGAACUAGAAAAAUUGUGAGGCCUUCCUCCCCUUUUCUCUCAUGCACUGUGUGUGUAUACAUUUCAAAGGAAAGAAAAAUAUUUUUGGAGACUUGUGGGUCCAUCCCCCUAGGUAAUUUCCUGGAAAAUUCCCUGGGUCCUUUCUUUGUUGACAAGCAAAAUAAAAAAGGAGGGAGGGGUCACGUGAGGUGGGGGUAGGAGGGGUAGGGGUUAGGAUAUGUGACCGUGUGGCCACUGUGUUAUUUGAUUUUGGUUCUACUUUGUCAUAUGUAUCUAUCAAUUUUGUUGUGGAUUUGGACAAGGUGUGUGUCUACUUGACUUUUCUAUUCACGUGCCCACUCCUGUGAGUGAUUCUCUUGUUGUUGAUAGGAUUCAUCAUUCUAGUUCUGUUAUGUUAUGGGGUAUCAAACUUGGGCAGAUUUUGUGAUUCUAGACAUGAUAGAUUUUGAUAUAAUUUUGGGUAUGAGUUGAUUAUCUAUAUAUCAUGCUAUGCUGCAUAGUCAUGCUAAGAUAGUGACUGUAGCUAUGCCGAAAAUGGAUAGACUUAAGUGGGAGGGUGAUUAUAGUCCUACUCCAAUGAAACUUAUUUCUUUCUGCGUGCAAAGAGGUUAAUUGGAAGAGGUUGUUUGACCUUCCUAGCAUAUCUUCGGGACACUUCCAUAGAGGUCCCAUCUAUUGAGUUAGUUUCUAUGGUGUGUGAGUUCCAAGAGGUUUUUCCUGAAGAUCUGCCUGGUAUGCCUCCAGGCUUUGACAUUGAUUUUUGUAUUGAUCUAGACCCAGAUACUCGUCCUAUUUCUAUUCCUUCCUAUAGGAUGUCUCCAGCUGAGUUAAGGGAGCUAAAGGCUUAGCUGCAGGAUUUAUUGAGUAAGGGUUUUAUUUGUUCGAUUGCCUCUCCAUGGGGUGGUCCUGUCUUGUUUGUGAAGAAGAACGAUGGUAGUCUUCUUAUGUGUAUAGACUAUAGGUAGAUGCACAAGUUAUAUUCCAUAAUAGGUAUCCUUUACCCUAUAUCAGUGAUUAUUUAACAAGUUAUAGGGUGCAUCUGUAUUUUCUAAGAUUGAUUUGAGCUCCGGGUAUCAUUAGCUUAAGAUCGAGUCUGCCGAUAUUUCUAAGCCUGUUUUCAAACCCGGUAUGGGCACUUUGAGUUUUUUGUGAUGUCUUUUGGGUUGACUAAUGCCCCAACUACCUUUAUGAGUUUGAUGAAGGGGAUAUUUAAACCUUACUUGAAUUUUUUCAUGAUUGUAUUUAUUGAUGAUAUUAUGGUUUAUUAUAGAGUAAAAAGGAACUUGAGAAUCACUUAAGGAUUGUUUGGGUUGUUAGAAGAGAAAAAGCUUGAUGCGAAGUUUUCUAAGUGCAGGUUCUAGUAGGUUUCUUUCUACUGUUCUUCAUAGAUAAUGUGUGAUAUAUAUUGUGUAUGGAUAUGGAUGUUAGGCUUGAUUAUGAGUAGGAUGACUUGGCCUCGAUUGUUAAUAUUUGGAGUUUAUACGCUGGCUUGGGACCCGUAAAAUGUCAUGUUUAUACCCUUUCUAAAUUCUAUUGCUUUUCCUCUCUAGUUUAAAUUAGUUGUAGCUUAGUUAUGAUGUAAACCUAUGUUUGGGAUGUGGUUUUAGUAUUUGAAGCAUGAUUUGUAUAUUUAGCCUUAUAGGGCUAGUUUGAUAGUCUUGAAAUCAUAAGUUGCAUAGAGUUGACUUGAGUACCCUUGUUUCUAGUCAAAGUUGCUAGCUUGAAUAUGGCUUACUUGACAUCUAGAAGAUAAAAUUGAUACCUUAGCCUAGUUUGGGGCAUAGUUUUCCUAAUUAUGGAAAGUGAGGUUUAGAAGUGGGAUCGUCUGGCCCAUUUAGGCCUAAACUUAUGUUAAGUAUUAUGGACUUAAUUGCGGAUGUUAGACAUAGAUGAGGGUAGUAAACCUUAGAACAAGGUUACUUGAUAACUUGGUAACUUUUAUUGAUGUUCCCAGAUUGUGGCUUUUGAGUUAUAGUUAUGAUACUUCCUAUGGAUGUGAUAUUGGGCAUUUAGAGAUGCUAUUUCCUCUUAGACUUGAUGAUUGACCCAUAGAGUUGCUAUUUUCUUUAGUCAUGAUUAUUGGACCACUAGAGACAAUGUUCCUCUUAGAUAUGCAAAUUGGCCGAGAGAGGUGAUAUUCCUCAUAGUCAUGAUGUAUGUGACCUAUCGAUAUAAGAUAUCCUAUAGACGAUUACAUGUGUCAUCUAUAUUAUACCUCCAAUAUGUGAGAUACUUUCUAUAUGUGAGACUAUUAGAGAUAUGCUAUGGCUUAUAAAUAUGAUUAUCGAUAUGAGUUUUGGAUAUGUAUAUGGGCCUAAGGCCGUGAUUAUAAUGUUGUGACUAUCCGAAUAAAUUAAUGGGACAAGAACUGGGUUAUGAUAAUGAUUGAAUAUCCGAGGAAUGUUUACCAAUGUAAAUGAUAGGACUACAGUUUAUGAAUACAUAUAUUUUUGUAUACACAUAUCUUUGGUAUGGGAUGGUGGAAUAUACAGUAUGUUAAUUACGACUUUAUUGAUUGUAUACUGGUUAUGGCAUGCAUAGAUUUGGUACAUUCAUGAUUAUUAUUUCGGUAAUUGAUGUGAUUGUAACUGAAAUAUGAUCUUACAAUUGUUCUGCCUAAUUAACGGCUAAGCUAUGUGGGAACUAGUUGUCUAUUAGGGGACUAUUGCUCUUGAUGGCUAGGAAUCUAAUGUAUUAGUUAAUGAAUCUUGCUUAAUUGAAACAUGGUAGCUAGAGAUGGUUAAUGCGUGACUUAUAGUGGGUCGGGUCUAGCAGAGGUGAAAAUUAGUUGGUAUUGAUAACUAAGUUUGUGAUAUUGAUUAGUCGAUAAACAAGGUGUUGUGUGUUAAUGAGGCAAGAUGAUAAGAGAUGUUGGUAAUAAGAGGUGACUAGUUAAUAACUUUGAAUAGUUACUAAAUGGUUAACUAAUUAAUAGUUAAGCAAGGAUUGUUGGUAAACGAUAAUUAGAUAAUGAAUAGUGUCAGUUAAUAAAAGAUAGUUAGGUGACAAGUAGUAAUGCAUUGUCUUGUAAUGAUUACUGGAUAUAGGAUGAUUAGUAGAUAAUAAUGAAUGAUGGAUAAAUGAAGAUUUUGGUCUAGUGAUGAACCUUGACUAGAUGUUAGAUGCUGGCUAUUAAAUAAGUAGUGGUUAGUUGCUAUCCCAUGAACAAGGAUAACGUGGAGGAUAAUGUUUAGUCUAAUAACUAGAGGUUAUGUGAUGACUAGAUAAUGUUUAUAGGCGCGUCUUUUGGUUAUGCAAUGACUAGCGAACUAGUGAUUCUAUUAUAAUGAGUAUUGGUUAGCUAAUAACGAGUAGUUGAGAAGUAUUGACUAGAUAGAUAUUCUAUGAUGAUAUGACUAUUUUUAUGAGUAUUUUAGUGUAUAUUAUUUGGUAAUGACUAUUAUGAUGAUAUGUUGAUUACCGAAAAGGCUGGAGGACACUAUUAUGAUAAUAUGUUGAUACCUGUCAAGGCCAGAGAAUACUAUUGUGACGAUAUUGAUAUCCGACAAGACCGGAGGACACUGUUGUGAUGAUGUUGAUACCUAGAAAGGCUGAAGAAUACUAUUGAUGAUGUGUUGAUAUUCGGCAAAGUCGGAGGUUGAUUACGAUGAUGAUGGUCCUGAUGAAGAUAGUUAUGAUGAGUUGUGAUACUGGUUGUGUACUUUGCCUUUAUUCCUACAUGUGCAUCGCAUAUCACUAGUAUGCACCUAUAUUUAUCAGCCGGUAUAGGAUGGUUGCAUAUAUAUGAGUGAAGAAUAUUUCUUGUGUUUUUGUAUACUAAUUAAACCUUUUGAGUCUGGGGCGGUGGGGGUACGCAUAGGCUCGGCUAAAUAUUUGGUUGUCCGUAAGUUGAGUGCUAAGGAGAUUGCAUCUGUGAAGGUCCAGAAGAAGAAUCUUCCUAUUGAGGAGGUCACUUUUUGCUGAUUCAAGUAAUUCCUUAGUACUUUCCUUGUCGCUUGUUUGUCAUUAGGGGACAAACGAUUGUUUAAUUAGUAUCUGAUGUAACGACCCUCCCGGUCGUUUGUGAAAUACUUACAUCUUUCUUAUUAGCUCUUCUUUUAGUUUCUAUACGUAAUUUAUGACUUACAGAGAUAGAUAGUACCGAUUCUUGAUGUGUUCCAGGUGAUUAAGUCCUUUGUUGAGUAUUUUAGAUAAUUAAUUUAAUUAGUGAUUUAAUGAGUUCAAAACUCAUAAUUUAACUACUUAUGGGGUCAACACAAAAAAUAAAUUUAAGUUAGAAGGGUUUAUCGGGUAUAAUAAUAGAAGCAAAUGGUCACAAGAAAGAACGGUUAGCAACCAUAUUUCGUAUUCACCGCUUUAAAGAAAAUCUGUGACCUCUUACAGGUUUGUUUUCUAAUAUCUUUAGAAUUUGAUUUGAAACUAGUAAAUAAAUGUUGUGUAGUGAUUUCCUGUAAUUAUUGGCGUAGUUGACCAACAAAAGUAAUAUUAAAAUAGUAAUAUGAGAGAUAUGAGAUAUUCUUCAUAUUUGUGCUUUUAUAUGGAUUGGGAUAAAUCAGUGGAAACAAAUUUAUAUUAGGAUAGAUGGUCAUGUUUUAAUGAUGAUAUAUGGGUUUUUGGUGCUUGCAGUGUCAUGAUAGAACUAUUUUGUUCUUGGCAUCAGCAGCGUGCCUCGGAGAUUUGGAACUAACAAUUGUUACUUUUGACAGUAACAAUAUAGUAAUAAUAAUGUCAUAAUAAUAUUGAGGUUUAAGCGUAGAACAACGUUGUGUUUUAUAUGGAUGGAUUAUAUAAUUUGACAUGUUAUCAAAGUAUAUAUGUUUUGGGUUAUGAUUAUAUAUAUGUGAUCUAUUGAUAAAUUAUUCUGCACUAGCUAUUUGGUAUCAUUUUAUUUUAAUGGGAAUAAUCUUCUUACUAUUUUGUUAGUAGAUAAGACUAGAAUGAAUAUUUUAUUUUGCUAAACAAUUCGUUCAUGGCUAUUUGAUUGGAUUGGACUCGAUAUUCCCUUUUUGGCUAUUUGAUUUACUCAAUAUUGGCCAUUGAAUCAACAUAUUAUAUUCUUUACUCUCUAAAUCAACAGGAGCUACUGUUUUGAUUAUUUCUUUAGGUCUUAAGGGUAAAAACGUGUAAAAUAUGUGUCACUAGAUUCGUACUCUUAUUGGUAUUACAAUUUGAACAACUUUGAAAUAUUCAGAAGCUUUACAGAGUGGCAAGACCCUCGCACAGUAGCUUGCUUUCGAGUUCUUCGAUUGAGGUAGGUUAAGAUUUAAUUUGAGUUUAGACUCGACUUAAUUGUGUGUAUGCUCCUAAAUUAGAUACUUGUUGAUUGAUAUUCGGAUAUGCUUGAAAUUGUUGAUAUUUGGACUAUUGAUUCAUGUAUAAAUGAUUAUUAAAAAUUUACUUGAUGAAAUUGUCUUAUGACUUUAAGUUUACUUGUAAACUUGGUACAUUGUGUUGUAUGUUGUGAGGUAGUUUAAAUUUGAUAUUGAUAUUACUUUUUUAUAUGUUGGAUCGGGUACCACGCCGGUACGGAUAUGUAUAUGUUGGAUUGGGUACCACGCCUGUAUGGAUAUAUAUAUGUUGGAUCGGGUACCACGCCGGUACAGAUAUGUAUAUGUUGGAUCGGGUACCAUGCCGGUACGGAUAUAUAUAUGUUUGAUCGGGUACCACACUGGUAUGAAUGUUUAUAUGUUGGAAGGGGUACCACGCUGGUACGGAUAUUUAUAUGUUGGAUUGGGUACCACGCCGGUACGGAUAUUUAUAUGUUGGAUCGGAUACCAUGCCGGUACGGAUAUGUAUAUGUUGGAUCGGGUACCACACCGGUAAAGAUAUUUAUAUGUUGGGUCGGGUACCACGCCGGUACGUAUAUGUAUAUGUUGGAUCGGGUAGGUACCACGCCAAUAUGAAUAUUUAUAUGUUGGAUCGGGUACCGCGCCGGUACAGAUAUAUAUAUGUUAGAUCGAGUACCACGUCGGUACAGAUAUAUAUAUGUUAGAUCGGGUACCACGCCGGUACGGUACGUGAACAUCGAUUGUUCGCUGCAGGUCAUGACUAUUUGGGCAAAAAUAAGUCUCAUAGCAUGUGUGUAUGUAUUUAUGUUGAUUCUGUGGAUGUUUACAGUAUGGUUUAUAAUCUUGAUGGUUAUGUGGCUUAUUUGUGAGCACUUUUUGACCUGUUGUUGUUGUUGUAUUGUUGAUUCAUUGAAUAUUUGUUAUGUGAUGAUGCCUGUCUACUUGUUAUCUGAUUUAUGUUGUGUACAUGCUAUUAAAUUGAGUUGGCCUAUGAUACCUACCGGUACAUAGUGGUUUGUACUGAUACUACCCUGUACUCUUCUUUUGUUGAGUGCAAAAAGUGUUCUAGAGGCUCAAACAUGACCUUACCUCUAGAGUUUGAUAGCAGAUCUUGAUCCAAGGGUGAGCACUCCAUCUCUAGGCUUCCAUGGGUCAUCCUAUUUGUUCUUGUCCAUCUUUCGGGCAAUGAAAUAUUAUUUAUUUACUUUAUUUUUGGACAUCCCAUUGGACAUGAUCUUUGUUAGUAGUUCUUGUACGAUGACUUUCAGGUCUUGGGGAUUUUAGUAAGUAGUUUGUUUGAAUUCCGCAUUAACAGUGAUUAGUCCUGAAUUAUUGUUAUUAUGUUGAUUUUAUAAUAAUAUUAUCUUAAUAUUGAUUAAGUGAUUGGAUAAUGGUUCGAUUUAGAUGGUUCUCCCCAGGAAGAUUAGUGUGGGUGCCACUCAUGGCCAUUUGGGUCGUGAAAAUCUUUGCAUUAUUCACAGUUGCAAGUAGUGUGAUUAGGUUUGACACCCACGAAAGCUUUUGAUGAAAAUUGGGAAAAAAAUUAAAAGUAAUUCAUGUUAUAUGGAACUUCACUUUAGGACCCUCUUAGAAAACGAGACGUUAUUUUUCUGAAAUAUGGAAUCUUUCUUUAUCAUAAUCUUUUUGAGAUAAUUUUUGUUCUAGUUUUGAUUUUGAUUUCUGGAGUCCGCCUGGAGAACAGGGUGAUGAAAUUGCAAGUCGGGAGCUCGCCCAAAGAAUAGGGUGAUGAAAUUGAAAUUCGAGAGCUCGCUCGGAGAAUAGAGUGAGGAAAUUGCAAGUCAAAAGCCGGCCUAAAGAAUAGGGUGAUAAAAUUGAAAGACGGGAGGUCGCUCGGAGAAUGGAGUGACAAAAUUGCAAGUCGGGAGUCCGCUCGAAAAAUAGGGGGAUGAAAUUGAAAUUCGGGAGCUCGACCGGACAACAAAGUAAGGAAAUUGGAAGUCGGGAACCCGCCCGAAGAAUAGGGUGAUGAAAUUGAAAGUUGGGAGCUCGCCCGAAGAAUAGAGUAAAAAAAUUUCAAGUCGGAAGCGCACAUGAAAAAUAGGGUUAUGAAAUUGAAAGUCGAGAGCUCACCCUAAGAACAGAGUGAGGAAAUCGCAAGUCGGGAGCCCGUCUGAAGAAUAGAGUCAUGAAAUUAAAAGUUGGGAGCUCACCCAAAGAACAGAGUGAGAAAAUUGCAAGUCGGAAGCCCACCCAAAGAAUAGGGUGAUGAAAUUGAAAGUCGGGAGCCCGCCCGAAGAACCUGGUGAAGAAAUUGAAAGUUAAGCAACAAGGUGAAACAAUUGAAAGUUAAGCAACAAGUUUAAGAGAUUGAACGUCUAGCAACAAGGUGAAGCAAUUGAAAGGCAAUAAAGUGAGGAAAUUACAAGUCGGGAGCUCACCCGAAGAACAGGGCGGUGAAAUUGAAAAAUCAAAAGAUCAAAAAUAGCAAGUCAGGAGUCCGCCUGGAGAACAAGGUAAUGAAAUUGAAAUUCAAGCAACAAGGUGAAAAAAUUGUAAGUCAGGAGCCCGCCUGGAGAAUAGGUUGAAGAUUUUAAAUUCAAGAUCAAGGUUCAGAAGUACCACCGACAGAACAUGGUCAAUUUAUGAGUUCAUCUCCAACAUCAGAUUUUGUAUGGAGAAAGAAUCUGUUCUCAAGUUCAAUCCAAAGAAGAUCGGGUCUUUUCUCAAUUCUGAAAGCAUCAGAAACUCAAGUCAAGAGUCCAAAAGAAGCUGCAUAGAUAGUACUUUUGUAAUUUCAUUUAUCUAUUUAACUUGUAAUUUUCAUUUUUGAUGUAAUGACAGAGCCACAGAUCGAAACCUCGACAGGACCUCACUCGACUCUCCAACUCGAUAUAGUCCUUUUUCUUUCCUAGCCAUUGAGAUACCUGUGACUCGAUGCCCUCAUAAUCUGGGUAAGUAGGAUGUCCAAGAUCAAAACUUGAUUGCCCUUCUUCCUUUUGAAUAAUGCUUGGGACAAAAGUUUGUCUCGUUGUCUACUUCAUUGUCUGAAAACACUUUGUGUUUACAUCUAAAGGGGGCAUACUGUAGACACGUAAUUUUAUCCCUCCAAAAAUUAUUUUAACCAUUUUCUCCGUUUUACCACGCACCCCAAUCUCAUUCCAUAAUUUUUUAACAAAAUGACAAAAUAAUAACCAACUAUAAAUAAAUUUUAUCCCAAAAUUCCCGCAUAAUCCCAAUUGAAACAAACUAACCAUCCUUCCCUAUCAAAUUUUGACAAAACAUUACCACCCCCACCCCUACCUUACCUCACCCUCUUAUUCUUACUUGCGUACACCCCUUCCUUGCGUUUACUCUUUUUGGGGAAUAUAUACACAUGACAACAAUACAAUUAAGGGGGAGGGAACAACAAUAUACAUACACUCACAGGAUUCCAUCAUCUUUCAUUUUUUUAUGACAAUAUACACACACACAUAAGAUGUACAGAGCUUCCUCACUAUUUCCUCUCUCAAAACAUACAUACACCUCAUACACACACAUACCCCUCAAUUCACCAACACACAGUUCCCACAACCCAUAUUAUUCAAAUUACACACACAGUAAUUCUCACAUACACACUGAAAAUCGGAGGGAGAUUGAGAGUGAUGAAAGAGAUCAAGAAAGACAGAGAGUGAUCGAAAAACUGAGAGGAGAGAGGAAACAGACAUCGAACCACACUGUUCCAACAAAAACCCAUCGGAAAUUAUUGAAAACUCAGCUGAUAUUCCAAUUCCCAUCGCUGCCAGAGCUUGCCGAAGCUCUGGAAAAAUAGUAACAACAAAACAUCCCUCUCCCGUCCCCAUCUUCGAUGAGGUCGUUGGAGAAUAAAUUCCAAAUCGACCUGACCAGUCCCAUAUCCGGUGGAAAUUAUUAAAAAAUGAACUUAGCAGUAGUGGGGUGUGCGAAUUUGGGUACGGGUCUUUUGUUAUUUUCUCAAUUUUGAUCCGGGUUGGCAAAAAAGAGAGAAAAAGGGUAUAUCGAGGUCAGAUUUGUUAGUCAAGGUUUGAAUUGAAGUUUUCUCGGUACGGUUCUAUCUUUGAUGUAUCAUAAUCGACAAUUGAGGUCCAAUUCUACUCUUUUCCUCUUUUUAUUUUAUUGUUUAUUAUAUUUGAUAUGUUGGAUUGAAUAUCGUGUGUUGUUUGAUCCUUGUUGGUGAUGAAUAGUUGCUUGGUAUCGAUUCAUUGUUGAUUCCGUUGAUUCUGUAUGAUGCGAUAAAAUGAUAUAUCACUUGAGAUUUGAAAUCGAUCAUUUGAGUAUACAAUUGGGGGUGGGAAUUAAAAGAUUGAUAAGGUAAAUGUUGAUUAUUUUUUUUCAUUGAUGGAUAUGGUUGAAAUCGAUAGUAUCAUGUUUUAGAUCAUUAAAUGGGUAGGCAAAUACUAAGUUUGGAUAGGCAAAUUGUAGAAAUGGAAUAUGAUAAUUUGUUGAAUGUGUGGAUAUCUUUUUGAAUGCUUCUUUCUAUUUUUAAUGCACAAAAUUGAAAAAAUAUAUUCAUUUUACCGGGGAAUUCCUCGAGGUCUUGUGGACUUAUUCACCGGGGAAUGCCCCGAAGUAUCUUGUACUCGGAGAGCAUUCGUGAUGAAGGCCCGAGGCAUCGUGUAAAGCAUUGGAGUGUAGUUUAGGAUUAGUCUAGAGUGAACAUUUUCUAUUUUUGGAACUAUAAUAAUUGGACUGAACACUAUAUUUUUGGACUUGUUUUGUUUUGUUUUGUUUGUUUGUUUGAUUUUUUUGUGUGUUUUAUGUGCUUUAUACAGUCAUAGUGAUAAAUUAGCCGAUAUGCUCUACCAAGCGACCGUGGUCGAACCACUAAAUUGAGGGGUGCCUAAUACCUUUCCCUCGAUCAACAAAAUUCCUUAACUGGAAUCUCUAUUUGUGGAUCAGUUUUAAAGAGUCAAAAUCGUUUUGAAAAAGGAUAUCCAAGGGUGACUUGGCACACCCGAUUUAUGCCAAGUGGCAACUCUAAGAUUUGAAUAUAAAAAAUCCUUUUCAAAACAAAUCUUCAUUUUGUCACUUAAUAGUAAAAAUCCUUUUCAAACCUUAAAUUAAUUCUUUUUGGUUAAAAAAAGGGUGUGACAGAAGAAAAUAUUUGAUAUGACUAUUGUAUUAUAAUAGUUUAGUGUACUCGCUUUGCGCGUGUACCUAUAUGUUUAACGCUAACAAAACAAGUGAACCUUAAAAUAAUUUAGUUUUAAUAUAUAGUUAUGUUAAUCUUUCAUUUUUUUCUAUUAUUAUAUAUUUGUUUGUGAUAAUUUAACGCAAAAUGGUUCACAAUGAGCCAAUCACAUGCUUCUUAUCAUUAUUAAGUUUUUUGUCAUGUUAAAUUCCUUUUUCAACUUCAAUUCAUGUUUCUUAGACAAAUCCUUCGUCAAUUCUGCUUAAUAAUCUAUAUUAUUAUCAAGUAUGAUCAAAAAGAAUUAUUUGUAACAUUUUUUUGGGGGGUGGGGGGUGGAGGAUGGGUGGGUUGAUAAAAAAUAGGUUAAAAGAAAUAGCAUUAGAGAUUAUUAAGGGUCUCUAUUUACAACUAUCUCUAGUAUACUAUUUCCUCCUUCAAUUUAAUUAAAUUUUCCAUCCAAAUUUCAUUUUUUCCUCUCCAAUUUAUUCAUUUAGCUUCUUCUUCUCCACCUCGACUUUCUUUUCCUCUCCCUAUAUCAACUUCACCCCAACUAUAUUAAUUAUAGCAAGCUUUAGUGCAACAUUACAACCCCAUCGAUCUUUCCCCUCUAUAGUUCACAUUAUAAUUAUCAUCAAGAACCACAUGAGUUGUAUGAGCUACCGCUAAUGGAUUAGAUUAAUUCGAUAUUUCAAAAUUAAAAUUUAGAUAUUAAAAAAGUAUAUGAAAAAUACUAUAACUUUUCUCAAAUCUGUAUGAUAAAAAAUAUAUCUUAAUAUAUUGAUAAAAAUUCAUGUACUUUGACUCUCAAAAAAGAAACUAUAAUAAGUAUUUUGAAACGAAAGAAAUAACUAUCUUUUGUAGAUAAGUGAUGGUUCAAUUUUCCAUCUAAAAGUAUUGUUCGAAACUGAAACAUACACUCUUUCUCUAACUAUUGGUUCUGGAGGAUAUAUUAUUAAUCAACAUGCAUGCGGAGGCAUAGAAAAUAUAUAUGUCAUGCAACAGAGUUAAGUGGUGCUUAGACUUAAUUUUUAUGGCAAUAAGUCUCUACCUAGCUCAAAGCAUUUCAACUAAGACAUGAAUAUAAGAAAAUUCAAGUUAUCAUACAACUCCACAUAACAAUACAUAAAUUUUAUCCAAAUCUUUUCAAAUAAAUACUAAUGAACAAUGAAUGAUAAGAAAGUACCUCAAUGAUAUCAAUAUUGUUGGUGAAGAGUGUAUCGACUUUCUGAUUUUGAAGACAAACUAAAUCAAAAUAAAAAUAAAAAGAAAUGUUAGAAUGCUAUAAACAUUAAAGAAUGAGAAGAAAGUACCUCAAUAACACCGAGAUUGUUGAUGAAGAGUUCACCGACUUUUCAUUUUCGAAGAAAAUUUAAAUCAAAAUCAAAAUAACAAGACGUAAAAAUCUCAAAAACACUAAACAAUUUACAAAUUCGUAGGCCAAAAAAAAGUGCGAUAAUUUUACCUUGUCAUAUUCCAAUGAACAUAAACUCAUUUAGCAAUCAACAACUACGACAUAAAUUAUCAGAAAAUUCACGUUAUCACACAACUUCGCAUAACAAUACAUAAAAUUCCAUCCAAAUUCUUCUAAAUGAGAAGAAAGUACCUCAAUGACAUCGAGAUAUUGUUUGUGAACUUUUUUUGUAGAGAGUCCAAGACUUUCCAUUUUUAAAGCUAACUCCUUUUAUAAAAGUCUAUUGAUAAAACCUAAAAGAAUUUGAUUUAGAACUUCUAUAAGAUUUGUAUUACAAAUAUAUUAUUUGUAUUAAAUUUGGAUUUAGUUUUUAUAUUACUCAUAUAUUUUUUGUAUUAAAUAAGGAUUCAGUUUUCUUAUUUUUAAAAAAAUAAUACAAGUUUUAAUUAAUUAUUUCUUUGUUUCUCAAAAGAAGUAUGUCCUUCUCAAAAAUAAGGGAGUUUAUAAUUUGUAACAAACAAACGGUUUUAAGUUUUUCUAUUUUUCAAAAAUAAGUCAAGUUUGCAUUAAUUAGUUCUUUGUGUUUGAAAACUAAUACGACCUUCUAUUUUGUAAAAAAUGAAAAAAUACUCCUAACAUUAAUUUCUAAUUGAGUUUUUUCCUAAUUUAUGAGAGUUGUUUUUCAUUCUAAUUGAGUCUUUCUUUUUCUAAUUUAGCAACAUGAAAACAUUAAUAAUAUUCUCCUUCCUAUAUAUUUUAGGAGUUUAGUUAAUACUAUAAAUACAAUAAUAUAAUAAUCUGAGAAAAUAAGCGAAAAUACGAUUUUAUCGAUUGCAGAAAUUUUUAAUGAAGGGCAAAAUGUUCAAAUCACUUUUCUAAGGGUCUUCACACUUUUAAUAUAUUAUAAAUAUAGAUUAUUAUUAUUGGUUUAUGUUUAGUAGUUAGUAUUAGAGUUUGGAAAAUGACCCAAAAAAUAAGUAAUGCUAAGAAUAAAACAUGAAAAAGAAAUAAUUAUAUUUUUUUCACUACUAGAAAAGUGUAAAUUACAUAGGGAUUUUUCUGGAGAUUAUAUAUGAAAAUUCGCAGGUAACCUAGUUUUCUGCAGAUUUUCCUACAAAAAAAAUUCGAUGAAAAAAACCUUCGUAGGUAAUUAUUAUCUACGGAUUUUAAAAUCCCUAAGUAUGUUACAUGAGAAUUUUGAAACCGUAUAUAAAUUACCUACGAAUUUUCAUGUAAAAAAGUUGAUAAAAAUUGAUGAAAGAAGGUAUAUUUCUUACAAAUUUUUAUAGGAAUAAGGACUACGGACUAGUCACACUGUUACUUUUCAUGAAUUUGCAUACAAUCCUCUCUCUCCAUUUUGUUAACCCACACCAUUUUUGGUUCAUUGUUUCAAAUUUAUUUAAUUUUCUUACAUUUAGUUAUUUAAUUCUUAAGACUAGAAAUAUUAGACUUCCAAGAGAAGUGAAUAAAUCAAUCACCUAUUUUCUCUAAGGCUACAUGCCUUAAUAUCUCAUAUGUACAUUUAUUACUUGCUUACUACUUAGUAAUAAAGCACAUAAUGUAGCUUUUCUGUAUCCGAUGUGGUACAAAAUCUACAUGGUGCAAUUCUUCUGCUUUCCCCAUUCAAUAAAUUAUGAUUGUCAAUUUUUUUUCAUUUGUUCUUUUUUUGACAUAGCUAUGUAAGUGUGAGACGAAAUUUAAAUACAAUUAACGUUGAGUAAAUUCAUAGAUUUUUAUGUCAUUGAAACAAGAGAGUGUUGCUUGGAUGGUAAGCACCCCUUACUUUCAAUCUUGGGAUUGUGAGUUCGAGUCAUCUAGAGAGUAAAAAAUAUUUAUGUCUUUGUAAACAAUAAAUAAAAGGUUGAAAAUCAUUUAUAUUUUUUCAAUUUUCCUUUAAAUUUCAAAUACUUUAAUCUUCAAAACCGAAAUAAAAAUCCGAAAUAAAAAUCCGAAAUAACUGAACCAAAUUUAUAGAAAUCAAACCAAAUCGAAUUUAUUUUGAUUUGGUUACGGUUGUCAUUUUCGUCAAUUCAAAAACCGAAAAACUGAAUCGAUAUUAAACAAGUAAAUUGAACAAACCGAAUGUCCACCCCUAAUCAUGUAUAUAAUUCUAAAACUACCAAGCACUUUCAACUCAAUAUAAAAUAAAAUAAUUUUUUAUUUUAUUUUGUGAUUAUUAUAUCUUAUAUCUCACACCAAACAACUCCUAAAUGUAUAUUAUAUUGAUAUAUUAUAUUAGCAUGCGUAGGAUGACGCUUUGCAAUUAUAUUGAAAUUAACCAGUAGAAAUCAAUAGAAAAAUAUGCUCUAUUUGAGCCCUAAGUCGUCCUUUUAAUUUCUUUAGCAUUUUUUGCUUGAUCAUACGUGUCCAUUGAUUUAAUGUCUAAUUUCUUUUAUUUUAUGUUUUUUUAUCCUUCAAGUUUAUCCUUUUCCUAUUUAAAUUUUUCAGGUCACAAAAAGCAUACGUAAAUCCCCAAAAAAUAAUUUUCAGUUAAAUUUAUAGCAACACAAUUCUCCAAUAAUUUCUCAAGUAACAAUUUUGCAGGUAAAUCCCCAAGAAUAGAUCCCCAGGAAAAUUCGCAGCAAAUAAUCCCUAAAUAAUUUCUCAGGUAAUAAUUUUGCAAGUAAAUCUCCAAGAAUAAAUCCCCAGCAAAAUUUGCAGCAAAUAAUCUCCAAAUAAUUUUUCAGAUAAUAAAAUCCUUCACAUAAAUUUCCACCAAAAUAUCUCUUAGUAAAUCUGUAGGAUAAAUUACCUGAGAAUUUUCCUAUGGAUUUAAAAAAUAUAUAUAUUUGUCCAUAUAUCUGCGGAUUUACCUAGAGAUAAUAUAUCCGCUGAUUCAUAUUUUCAGAUAAUGCAGCAAGUACGAAAUUUACACAAUAUGACGCCAAAUUUACCUGCAAAAUUUGUUGCAAAUAUAUAGUUCGCAGGUAUUAUAUUUUAAUAUUGAGGAAUUUAAUAUUUUCGUAAGUAAAUCCGCAUGUAUUUCCUACGAUAUUAUUCCCUAAGUAAAAUUUUCAUGUAAUUUACAGUUUUCUAGUAGUGUUUGAUAUAUUAAAAAUGACAAGUAAAAAUAAAAAUUUAUUUUUGCAAGGACAUGUAAAAGUAAAUCAGAGAGAUUUAUGAAAGGUAUUUAAUACUAAGUGUAGAAAGAAUAAAAUAUAUACAUAAAAUUCUCUUAAUUUCAUAAAUUAGACAAGUAAAUUAAAGCAAUUAUUUGUAAAAGGGCCAAGUAAUAAACGGAGGGCUAUGCCUUAUCGUACUAAUUUUUUAUAUUUAAUAAAAGCAAAACUCAAAAGAAAAAGUACAAGAAAGGAGGGCUAUGCCUUAUCAUACUAAUUCUUUUAAGGCUUAACAAAUCCUCUUCUAAUUAACAUGCACAUAAAAAGUAAGAAGAAGAAAGAACUAAAUAUUCUCGAUCAUCACAAAGUUUAUAACAAAUUCUAUGAUGAUACUGCAAUGAUAAUAAUUAGUUAGUGAAAAAAUAAAACAAGUAAGAAUGUAGAGUUAGAUCCAUAUUUGUAUUAAAAUAUGAAAUCUUCAACAAGAUAUAGCUCGAGAAAAUUUUAACUCUUCACAUUGUCUUCUUCCUUCGAUCGCUCCAAAAUAUUUUGAUACUUCAUAAAUUCUUCUUGAAUAUAUUGAGUCUUGUUGAUGUUGUUGAACCUCGUUUCUUGUGUUUUGUCACCCAUAUUAGUAGUUAUUAAAUUUGUAACUCAAUAUAUGAUUUAAUAAAUUUCCUUCUAUAAAUUUUUUUGUACAAUGGCAUCUGAAUCAGCUUGUUUUUUUUUUUUUUAAAACUAUAAUAACAUUUCUUAUCAAAGUAAAUCAUUUUUUUUUCACUCAAUAAAAGGAGAGUAGUUAAUUUUUGCGCCAGCCUUGUAGCUAAAAUUUAAUGACGGCCUACCCGUAAGGACUUAGAUCACUUUUAUUUCCUCAUCGAUCAAUUUUAUAAAAGAUACUACUUAUUAGAGUGAGUGCACUUUAAAGUUUUAAGAUCUGCUCCAUUAUUUCCAUCGAAUCUUAGAUUUUCUAUUACAUUUUUUAAAUAUGGGUCUUUUUAACUUGCCCUUUCUGUUCGUUAUUGUUUAUAGGCCAUUGCGAAAUACUUAGGUUUAGAGGAUAAUUUCCCUGUAUCACGUAGAAGCAAUAUUUAGAAUUUUAACUCACUGUCUUCUUUCAUAUCUGAUCAAACUAUGAGAAGAAAUUUAUAUGACUAUCACCUUCUUUGACUAUAUCAUUCAAUCUUUUUACAACAUAGUUUAUUGCGUUAGCUUUAUUAAAAAUUGCAAAUAAGUAUCUUUUUAAAUCAUAAUGAUUCAUUAAUUUUGACAUAAUAGAAGUAAGUGGGUCAUACAAUAAAUAUUUUACAUAUGUUUUUUUCUAUAUUAAUUUGACUAGCAGUUGACCAUAUAUAAAUAUUGGAUUAGAUUUUAAAAAUUUAUCUUUAGAAAAUUGAAUUUGAUUUUUAUUCUCAUCUUAUUGUGUAUCCUACCCUCUUAACAAAAGAACAAAAAUAAUCAAAUUCCUAAUAUUUCCUUAUCUUAAUAAACUUUAUCUCAACCAAUCCACAUCCCUCAUCCAAUCUCCUACCCCUACCCCUACACCCCACGUAUUCCCUUACCCUCUCAUGUUUUAUUCGAUUUGGAACCAAUUCACAAAAAGGACAAAAAGAGGGGACCCACAGGAAUUUUCCACACAUUAAGGGAUCCAUUAAGAGUAAAAUAUAUAUACACACGCCAUUAUAACAAAAAAAAGGGAACUCACAAGAAAAAGAGGCACAGAUUCUACACUACAUCAUCACUGAAAUUUUCCACACUCCAGAGAUGACUCUCCUCCAUCAUCAUACAUAUACGCACAUUCACAGCAACACAUAAGGCGGGAGGGCUCAAUUUUUUUUUUUUUUUCCAUGGAUCCCUGAUUCAUCUUUUACACAGUCACCAUCAUAUAAACACAACACACACUCUCAUAGAUUCUUCUUCUACACACAACUCACACGCAUACACAGUGAUAUCGAUGUAAAGAGGCGAGAUAUCAAUGAAACAGCGAGAAAUUGUGAGAGGAUGGGAGCAAAGCAGUAAAAAAAUAGAACAAGAUAGAUUGAUUCUCGGGUUUUUCCGGCGAGAUUUCUGCCGGAAGUGACGACGGCUCGUCCAAAUAACCCAACCAGUGCCAAAAUCCCCCAGAAAUCUCAUCGUUGUUAUUGAGUUUUAGGUGAAAUCCCGCCGGAAAUAAUAUCCCAGUAGAUCGUUAGUCCUAAACCGGCCAUUCGGGUUGAUUCCGGCGAGUUCUCACCGGAAAUCAUCAGACGGGUUCUCAGCUUCUUGUUGGAAGUUUUGGUUUCAGGUUGUUUUUGUCUAUUUUCCGCGAUUUUUGUUCGAACUGGUGAAAAACAGAGCAAAAGUUGAAAUACCGAGGCUUGGUUUCGUUGUUUGGAUCUGUUUCGGGGUUCAUCGGUUCACGAGGCUUGAAAUCGAUACAAGUUGAUUGAAUAAAAGGAACAUUGAGGUACAACUCUAUCUUUUCUCUCUUUAAUUUUAACGUAAUUGUGAGUAUUUUGUGUGCUUACCAUGUUUGAAUCGUCAUAGUGUAUUGUUUGAUGUUGGAGUUGGAUGUGAAAUCUUGAUUGGUGAAUCACGUAUGAAAUUAGUUUAAUCAUGUUGAGAUUGAAUUCGGGGUGAAAUUGAGAAAUUGACAAAACAGUGAAUUUGGAUUGAUUAAGACUUUGGUUUAAGUAUGAAUAUUGUUGAACACAAUAGUAGCAUGAUUAGACCAUUAAUUGGUAGGCAAAUUCUAGAUUUUGAGGUAAGCAACUCAUAGGAUUCUAAUCAUCAAAUGUGUAAAUGUUUGUGUUGAGUGAUUUUUCCCAUUUUAUCGCUUAAAAAUAUACUCAUUUGGUCGGGAAUGCUCCGAGGAAUUUGUAUUGAUUUAUUCGGGGAAUGCUCCGACAUAUCAUGUAUGUAAAGGAGGUUCGUGAUCAAGGCCCGAGACAUCGGGUAAGGCAUCGGACCGUAGUUUUAGGAUUAGAUUUGAAUAUGUAAUGACCCUUACGGUCAUUUUACUGUAUUUUCAUAUAAUUGUAGUACUAUCUAUCUAUAUAUAUAUCGUGGAUUAUUUAAUUUAAUUUGACAUUUUGCAAAAAUAUAACUUAGUAACCUUCUAAAAUAUUUUCGAUAUUUAUAAAAUUCUUUAAGUCAUGAGAUAUUUAUCUCACUUUAUAAUAAACUUUUAUAAUUUGUUAAUAUUGUAAGCGGAGAUAGUAAUUUUAGAAAAAUAUUAAAAUAUUAUUAUUAUAUAAUAGAGGUUUUGUUAGAAAUAAUUUUCUAUUAAUUAUGAUAUAUUCAAAAUAUUAUAAUUAUUUUAUCAUGAAUUUAUACAAUACCAGAUUAUGUACACAAUGUAGGAAAAAUAAGGCAACCGUUCACGUGGAAAUGAAUGGGUGGACCACUUUUGUAAUCAUCCAAUUUAAUUGCCAUGUGUUACUCCUAACGUAGCAUUUCAAUAUUUUAUCAAUCAAUGAAUAAGACAUAAUGGUCCCUCUCUCUUUAUUAUAUAUAUAUUUGGGCUUUCCAUUUUUGGAGAGAAAUUUUAGAAAGCAAAGUGUAUGUUAUUACCAGUUCCCUUUCGCCUUUUUUUUUUUUAUGUGCUAAACACAUAGCUAUAAUAUUUUUCUAAAAGAAGUUUUGGCGGAUGUACUUGUUCUUUUAAUCAAUUAUCUUCUGCAAGUAAUUUGAGAUUGGGUUUUUCGGAGGCUUUUUGGAAGAAUUAUAGCUUUGGCGUUCAGGUAGGUUAGGUUUACCCUAUUUUUAGAUUGAGCUUACUUACUGAAAAUCUUAACUAUUAUGUUAGCUUUGGAUAAAUCCUUGUAGAUGCGUAUUUUUGAUACAUAUAAAUUGUCUUAUUUAUUCGAAUUAGGGCCCCGUUUUAGUAAAUUUUUGGAAAACUUAUCUCUUAAUAUAAUGUAACAUGUAUCACUUUGGGACGUAAAUAUACUUUUUAUUUGAAAGUAUAGUUGUAUACAUAUAUAUAUAUUUGCUUCUCUUCAUCAUCCUCCAAUAUACCUUUAGAAAUGGUUAUAUGAAACGUGUAUGCAUAUAUAAUUAUUUGAAAAGCAUAUAUGUAUAAGAGUAUAUAUUAAGCAUAUGAUAAUAUAGACAUAUAGUAUAUUUAUUAAAUUACAAAACCUUGAAUUUAUCCCUUUUUAAGAUUAAAGAAUGAUUGUUUAGACAUUGUUAUGAUAUGGUAUGAAUUUUAUUAUUUUCGGUGGUUAUGGUUACUAUGAGUUCCGGUUCGAGUCCGGCAAAUGAUUUUUAUGGUUACUAUGAGUUCCAAUUUGAGUCUGGCAAAUUAUUAUUAUGGUUACUAUGAGUUUCGGUUCGAGUCUGGCAAAUGAUUAUUAUGGUUACUAUGAGUUUCGGUUCGAGUCCGGCAUCUGCUUAUGAGUUCUAUAUAUAUGGCCUCUCGUUAUUACCCACUGGUGCCGGUUCAAGUCCUGUGCACAUCUGGAAAACUAUUAUGAUUUAUGGUGAUCAGCGCAGUUAUAGACUAUUUAUGUUUAUUUUCAUUACUUGUGUGUCCCACCGGCUUAUGGGGGUACGGAUGGUUUAAUUGUCUUCUUUAGUGUGCCUAGCGGGCUUAUGGGGGCCCAGCUAGGUUAUGUUUGAUUUAUCUAUUAUUACUGCAUUAUUAUUUUUUGGUAUCGCAUAAGUUUAUUCCUUUACAGCCAUUGCAUAGCUUGGUAGCUGUUUACCUUUCCAUUCCUAUCUACUAAUGACUCAGAUUACGCCCUCGCAUUGUAGUUAUACCUUUUCUGUAUUACGCUCAGUCGGGCGAUGAUGCCUACUGAGUACCCGUAAGUUUUGGUACUCAUACUACACUUCUGCAUCUUUUUCUGAUGCAGCUCAGGGUAAUAGCAGUCGACGUUAACGUGGUUCCUACCUUCCAUCAUUGAUUUAGAGCAGGGUGAUCUUAUUGUCGUCUGAGGCUGAUCCUCUUCUAUCUAUUCCAGUUAGUCUUUUGUUCUCGAGACUGCUUGUGUAUAUUGUGUACAUUUUAUAUUUUUGUCUAGUACUCUAGGUACCUUUUAGUAAUGGCUCUAGUACUGACCUUAUCAGGUCUUGGGAGGGAUUCAUUGUAAGUUGAUCCUUUUUCCUCAUCUCGUUUUGAUAUAAUAUAUAUGCUCCUUUCUUAGUUUUUACUUAUUAUUAUUAUACAUAAUCCUUUAUUUGGUCUCUGCCUGUUAGCCCGUUACUUAUAAUUUCGGACUAUGGCUUGACUUGCCUACUUGUGGGUUAAAGUAGGCGCCAUCAUUACUUGAGAAAUCGGGUCGUGACAGAUUGGUAUCAAAGCAUAGGUCUUACUGGUAUUGUUAGUACUGGAGCUGAUGUUUAGUUGAGUCUUGCGGAUCGGUACGGAGACGUCUGUAUCUUAUCCUCGGGAUGCUACCGAGCAUUUUUAGGAAAAAAAAUCUCAUUAUUGAUCCAUUUUGUGCAUUAAGUCUGGGUUGGUUGUAAUCUUCUUUCAUUGGCUCACUGUUUACACAGAUGGCUAGGACGCGAGGUUCAAGAGCGGGCGGUCGGGGCCCGGGGCACGCUUCUAGAGUUCUAGCUUGGGGUUGAAGUCGACCCAGAUAUCAGGGGCAGGGUAGAGCAGCACAGGGUGGUGUUGACUUAGUGGCACAGCCUGCGGCAGCGAUGCUUAGGGUAGAGAUUUUGCUAGCACCAGUAGUCCCACAACCGGUAGUAGCCCCGCCAGUUAUAUCUUCGGAGGGGCAAAAAAUAUUAGGCCAAUUUUUGAAAUUGACUCCACCCAGAUUUACCAGGACACAAGGAGAGGAUGCUAUGGAGUUUCUAUCCAGUUGUGAGGAGCGGUUGCGGAAUUUGGGUUUGGUUGAAGCACGGGGAGUAGACUUUGUUUCUUAUCAGUUCGACACAGCAGUGAGGAGGUGGUGGAGUGGUUAGCUUGAUUCUAGGCCAGCUGGAUCUCCCAGUGACUUGGACCCAGUUCUCCGAGGCUUUCUUAGGGAAGUAUAUGCCUCGUAGCAUGCGUGAGCGUCUCCGAGAUGAGUUUACAGCUUGGGACAGGGUUCUAUGAUCGUGUCUGAGUAUGAAGUGAUAUUCCAUGAGUUAGCCAGACACGCCACUAUGAUUCUGGAAACGGAGUACGAACGAAUUUGAUGCUUUGUUAGGGGAUUGAGGUUGUCACUUCGUAGGGUUACACAGAGUUUGGUGACUUUAGGGAAGUCUUUUUUGGAGAUAUCCGAUCAUGUUUAUUCCAUAGAGGAGAUGGAUCGUGAGGCUUAAGAGGGCAGCGAUAAGAGACCACGUUGCCAGGGCAGUUAUAGCGGUUCUCAGUUCUCAGGCCGAGGAUUUCAUGGUAGAUACCCCCAUCAACAGCCUUUACAGCAUCAGGGUCAGCCUAGUCGGCCAGUUCAGGCAUCACUUCAGAUAUCCGACCUGGGCUCAGCCCGGCUAUAAUAGUUCCAGUGGUCAGAGUAGCAGCCAGCCAUAGAAGGUUAUUCAGCCAGGAUUGUCGAGUAAAGGUGGUCAUUUUGGAUUCGCCGGACCUUCUAGACAGAGCAGGGUGCCCAGGAUAUGUUAUGACUGCGGGAUUAUUGGUCACUUUGCUCGUGAGUGCCCUCGGCGUAGGAUGAUUGGGCCUUCAGUUCUGAAUGUGCAGCCGAUUAGAUCAGUGUCGCCGUUGGGUAAAGGUAGUGUACAGGGUCGUGGAGGUGAUCCCCAGGGUUGUAGAGGUGGUCCACAGGGAGGUAGGGCAAGUGGUUGGGCAGGUACCCAGUCCAGUAGUGGACAGGGUCAUUUAUAUGCCGUACCAGGUAGACCAGAGGCUGAGGCUUCAGAUGCCAUGAUCACAAGUACGAUAUUCGUAUCCCAUCAGACAGCUUCUGUUUUGUUUGAUCCCGGUUCCACACUUUCAUAUAUUUUUGCUUAUUUUGCAUCGCGACUGGGUUUAUGUUCGGAGUCUUUAUCUGUGCCAUUACGUGUGGCUACCCCACUAGGUGAUUCUUUAGUAGUGGAUCGGGUAUAUAGAUCUUGUUUGGUGACUAUUCAGGAGUUUGAUACUCAUAUUGACCUCAUUGUCCUAGAUAUAGUAGAUUUUGACGUGAUUCUAAGCAUGAAUUAGUUGUCUCCUUACCAUGCGAUCUUGAAUUGUUUUGCUAAAAUCGUUACUUUAGAUUUGCCUGGCAUAACCCCAGUUGUGUGGCAGGGUUCCGUUAGCCGUGCACCGAUGGGGAUUAUUUGGUACAUUCGGGAUAGGAGACUGAUAUCGAAGGGUUGUGAGUCUUUUCUUGCAUAUAUCAGGGAUGUUAGUGUUGAGAGUUCCCCGCUUGACUCCGUCCCUGUUGUUCGUGAGUUUUUUGAUAUAUUUCCGACCGACCUACCUGGCUUUCCUCUUGAGCGUGAUGUAGAGUUUAUUAUUGACCUCGAGCCAGGCACCCAACCUAUUUCUAUUGCUCCAUAUUGUAUGGCUCCUGCUGAGUUGAAGGAGCUGAAUAGUCAGCUUGAGGAUCUUCUAGGUAAGAGUUUUAUCAGACCGAGUGUAUCACCUUAGGGUGCUCCAGUUCUGUUUGUAAAGAAAAAGGAUGGAUCCUUACGUAUGUGUAUCGAUUACAGGCAGUUGAAUAAGGUGACGGUGAAAAAUAAGUAUCCUAUGCCUCGCAUUGAUGAUUUGUUUGAUCAGCUUCAGGGAGCGGCGGUGUUUUCUAAAAUUGAUUCGAGGUCUGGUUACCAUCAGUUGAGAGUUAGGGCUGCGGACAUCCCUAAGACAGCCUUCAGGACUCGUUAUGGUCAUUAUGAGUUCUUGGUGAUGUCUUUUAGGUUGACAAAUGCUCUAACAGCUUUUAUGAAUCUGAUGAAUCUCGUGUUCAGGCCAUAUUUGGACUCCUUCGUGAUAGUAUUUAUUGAUGACAUUCUUGUAUAUUUGAGGAGUAAGGAGAAGCACGAGCAACAUUUGAGGACUGUGCUCCACACUUUGAGAGGCCACAGGCUUUAAGCCAAGUUCUCAAAAUAUGAGUGUUGGCUUGAGUCUGUAGCUUUCUUGGGGCACGUAGUGUCCAAGGACGGUAUUAUGGUGGACCCAGCCAAGAUUGAGGCUAUUCGUAGUUGGGCCAGGCCUACAUCACUCUUCGAGGUUCGUAGCUUUAUUGGGUUGGCAGGUUACUACAGGCAGUUCAUUAAAGGUUUUUCUUCUAUUGCAUCCCCUAUGACUAGAUUGACCAGAAAGGAUGUUCCGUUUCAGUGGUCUGCAAGUUGUGAGGCGAGCUUUAUGAAGCUUAAGGAAUUACUUACUUUAGCUCCUAUUCUGACUCUUCUUGUUGAGGGCGGGGAUUUUACUGUCUAUUGUGAUGCGUCUGGUGUUGGUGUGGGGUGUGUUCUGAUGCAGCGUGGCCGUGUAAUUGCAUAUGCAUCGAGACAGUUGAAGGUGCAUGAGCGAAACUAUCUCACUCAUGACUUAGAGUUGGCAGCGGUAGUAUUUGCGCUUAGGAUUUGGAGGCAUUACUUGUAUGGGGUUCGCUGUGAGAUAUUUACUGAUCACCGUAGUCUGCAGUAUAUUAUGACCUAGAAGGAGCUUAAUUUGAGGCAGCGUAGGUGGAUUACCUCGUACUUUGCAUGGUUUUGACAGUAUUGGCUUAUUGUGGAUCGAUUGACCAAGUCUGCUCAUUUUAUCCUUGUUCGAGUUUCCUACAGUGCCAAGAGGUUAGCUCGUAGUUAUAUCCAGGAGGUGGUUUGCCUACAUGGGGUCCCUGUGUCCAUUAUCUCUGACCGAGGCUCUCAAUUUACUUCUAGCUUUUGGAGGACAUUUCAGGAGGAGUUGGGAAGCUAGGUUGACCUUAGCACAGCCUUUCAUCCCCAGACGGAUGGACAAUCAGAGUGGACUAUCCAGGUCUUAGAAGAUAUGCUACGCGCUUGUGUGUUGGAUUUUAGAGGUCAGUGGGACCUGUUUCUACCUUUGGCAGAGUUUGCAUAUAAUAAUAGCUUUCACGCGAGUAUUUAGAUGGCCCCAUUUAAGGCAUUGUAUGGUAGGCGAUGUCGAUCUCCUAUUGGUUGGUUCGAGACUUCUGAGGCUAGGCCUCGUGGCACAGAUUUGCUUCAUGAUUCGUUGGAUCGUGUUUGAGUGAUUCAGGACAGGCUACGAGCAGCUCAGAGCAGACAGAGGUGUUAUGCUGAUCGCAGACGUCGUCUAUUGAGUUUUAGAGUUGGUGAUAAGGUCUUCUUACGAGUAUCGCCCAUGAAGGGUGUGAUGAGGUUUGGAAGAAGGGGCAAGCUUAGCCCUAGAUAUAUCAAACCUUUUGAGAUCCUACAGAGAGUUGGGGAAAUAGCUUCUGUAUUGGCAUUGCCACCUGCCUUCUUAGCCAUUCACCCGAUGUUUCAUGUAUCUAUGUUACGACAGUAUAUUCCAGAUGAGUCACGUGUACUUCAGUAGGACUCGGUUCAGUUGGACGAUGAAUUGGCAUUUGUAGAGGAGCCAAUAUCUAUUUUGGCGAGGGACGUCAGGCGGUUGCGUUCCAGGGACAUUCCGAUAGUCAAGGUUCAGUAGCGUCACCGUCCAGUUAAGGGGGCUACAUGGGAGAUCGAGAGUGAUAUACGCGCCCAGUAUUCCUACCUGUUUGACCCUUCAGGUAUUUCCUUAUCUUUUACUUUCGCAAACAAAAGUCCUUUUAGUAGUGGAUACUGUAAUGACCCUUACGAUCAUUUUACUGUAUUUUCAUAUAAUUGUAGUACUAUCUAUAUAUAUAUAUAUAUCGUGGAUUAUUUAAUUUAAUUUGGCAUUUUGUAAAAAUAUAACUUAGUACCCUUCUAAAAUAUUUUCGAUAUUUGUAAAAUUUUUUAAGUCACGAGAUAUUUAUCUCACUUUAUAAUAGACUUUUAUAAUUUGUUAAUAUUGUAAGUGGAGAUAGUAAUUUUAAAAAAAUGUUAAAAUACUAUUAUUAUAUAAUAGAGGUUUUGUUAGAAAUAAUUUUCUAUUAAUUAUGAUAUAUUCAAAAUAUUAUAAUUAUUUUACCAUAAAUUUAUACAAUACCCGAUUAUGUACACAAUGUAGGAAAAAUAAGGCAACCGUUUACGUGGAAAUGAAUGGGUGGACCACUUUUGUAAUCAUCCAAUUUAAUUGCCAUGUGUUACUCCUAAUGUCAGCAUUUCAAUAUUUAAUCAAUCAAUGAAUAAGACAUAAUGGUCCCUCUCUCUUUAUUAUAUAUAUAUUUGGGCUUUCCAUUUUUGGAGAGAGAUUUAGAAAGCAAAGUGUAUGUUACUACCAGUUCCCUUUCGCCUUUUUUUUUUAUGUGCUCAACACACAGCUAUAAUAUUUUUCUAAAAGAAGUUUUGGCGGAUGGACUUGUUCUUUUAAUCAAUUAUCUUCUGCAAGUAAUUUGAGAUUGGGUUUUUCGGAGGCUUUUUGGAAGAAUUAUAGCUUUGGCGUUCAGGUAGACUAGGUUUACCUUAUUUUCAGAUUGAGCUUACUUACUGAAAAUCUUAACUAUUAUGUUAGCUUUGGAUAAAUCCUUGUAGAUGCGUAUUUUUGAUACAUAUAAACUAUCUUAUUUAUUCGGAUUAGGGCCCUGUUUUAAUAAAUUUUUGAAAAACUUAUCUCUUAAUAUAAUGUAACAUGUAUCACUUUGGGACGUAAUAUAUAUAUAUAUAUAUAUAUAUAUAUUGCUUCUCUUCAUCAUCCUCCAAUAUACCUUUAGAAAUAGUUAUAUGAAACAUGUAUGCAUAUAUAAUUAUUUGAAAAGCAUAUAUGUAUAAGAGUAUAUAUUAAGCAUAUGAUAAUAUAGAUAUAUAGUAUAUUUAUUAAAUUACAAAACCUUGAAUUUAUUCCUUUUUAAGAUUAAAGGAUGAUUGUUUAGACAUUGACAAUGUUAUGAUAUGGUAUGAAUUUUAUUAUUUUUGGUGAUUAUGGUUACUAUGAGUUCCGGUUCGAGUCCGGCAAAUGAUUAUUAUGGUUACUAUGAGUUUCGGUUCGAGUCCGGCAAAUUAUUAUUAUGGUUACUGUGAGUUCCAGUUCGAGUCCGGUAAAUGAUUAUUAUGGUUACUAUGAGUUUCGGUUCGAGUCCGGCAUCUGAUUAUGAGUUCUAUACAUCUGGCCUCUCGUUAUUACCCAUUGGUGCCGGUUCAAGUCCGGUGCACAUCUGGAAAACUAUGAUGAUUUAUGGUGAUCAAUGCAGUUAUAGACUAUUUAUGUUUAUUUUUAUUACUUGUGUGUCCCACCGGCUUAUGGGGGAUACGGAUGGGUUAAUUGUCUUCUUUAGUGUGCCUAGCGGGCUUAUGGGAGUCCAGUUAGGUUAUGUAGUGUGCCUAGCGGGCUUAUGGGGGCCCAGCUAGGUUAUGUUUGAUUUAUCUAUUAUUACUGCAUUAUUAUUUUUUGGUAUCGCAUAAGUUUAUUCCUUUACAGCCAUUGCAUAGCUUGGUAGCUGUUUACCUUUCCAUUCCUAUCUACUAAUGACUCAGAUUACGCCCUCGCAUUGUAGUUAUACCUUUUCUGUAUUACGCUCAGUCGGGCGAUGAUGCCUACUGAGUACCCGUAAGUUUUGGUACUCAUACUACACUUCUGCAUCUUUUUCUGAUGCAGCUCAGGGUAAUAGCAGUCGACGUUAACGUGGUUCCUACCUUCCAUCAUUGAUUUAGAGCAGGGUGAUCUUAUUGUCGUCUGAGGCUGAUCCUCUUCUAUCUAUUCCAGUUAGUCUUUUGUUCUCGAGACUGCUUGUGUAUAUUGUGUACAUUUUAUAUUUUUGUCUAGUACUCUAGGUACCUUUUAGUAAUGGCUCUAGUACUGACCUUAUCAGGUCUUGGGAGGGAUUCAUUGUAAGUUGAUCCUUUUUCCUCAUCUCGUUUUGAUAUAAUAUAUAUGCUCCUUUCUUAGUUUUUACUUAUUAUUAUUAUACAUAAUCCUUUAUUUGGUCUCUGCCUGUUAGCCCGUUACUUAUAAUUUCGGACUAUGGCUUGACUUGCCUACUUGUGGGUUAAAGUAGGCGCCAUCAUUACUUGAGAAAUCGGGUUGUGAUAGAAUAAGAUUCAUAUUUUCACAUUUUUUCUAGUUUUGAACUGUGUAAUUGGAUUGGACACUAUAUUUUGGAUUUGUUUUGUUUUGUAUGUUUGAUUGAUCGUUUUAUGUGUUUUUUAUGUGAUUUAUACAUUUGUAAUGUCAAAUUAGCCGAUACGCUCAACUAAGCGAUCUUGGUUGAAUCACGGGAUCGAGGAGUGCCUAACUCCUUCUCCUCGUUCAACAGAAUUCCUUAACCGGAAUCUCUGUUUGCAGAUCAGUUUUUAGAGUCAAAUUAUUUUGAAAAGGAUCUUUCAAAGGUGACUUGGCACACUGGAUUAUGUCAAGUUGUGACUCUGAAUAAAAAAUGUAAAUAAUUCUUUUUUCAAAAUAAAUUUUUAAUCUUUUGUCACUUUAAUAAUAAAAACUCUUUUGAACUUAAAAGAUAUCCUUUCGGGUAAAAAACGGAUGUGACAGCGAUAAAACUGUUCUCAUAACUGCUAGGCAAAACUCCUUCAAACAGGCCUAAUUAAGGCUCAUAAUUGAAUUACUAAACUCUUGUUAAGUAUUUUAUCCUUAUUAGAGACAGUACCUAAUAUCAUGAUUAAUGUAGUAAUCCAUGUUUAUGUAUUACUACUUACUAGGGAGAAGCACAAAAAAAAUGUAACUCCUGUCUAUGUAUUACGAACAUCAUCAACAUCUAUUGUUCUGAAUAUGAUGAAGCUGGCUUUUUUGGAAUUUGAUUUCUUUUAUGGUCACUCAACUAAUAAUUUUUAUCUCAGGAAUCAGGAUAUCACUCACUUAAUUUUGUAGUGCAAAAGUUAAGAAGAUGUUUGACCAUGAGAAUUUUUCACUUUUUUUUGGAGUUCAAUUUCGGAAAAUAUGUUUGACCAUAAAUUUCCGAAAAAUUCUGCUUUCACUUUAUUUAAAAAUUCCAAGAACAACAAAAAGUCGUUUUCACGUCAAGUUACUCAUCAAAAUUCAAAAACAACUCUAAUUUAUUUCAUGACCAAACAUUUCUCCAAUUUCCAAAAAAUCAUUUUUCAUGUUUGAAAACAACAACAAUUUUUUUCUAUUUUCACUGGGAAACUUGGCCAAACACCUACUUAUCUCAAAAACUCACUCAACUUUAUUUUGUCUAAAGUGGCCUUUAUAUCUAAACUAGACAUUCAAUUUCGUGCUAGCACAAGUUCAAUAUAUGCUAUUUUUUUCAUCCCAAUUUUGUAAUGUUAAUAGAAUCUAGAGAAUUAUUUUAAGUUAUUAAUUGUUGUAAUUUAUAUGUAAUACUUUAUACAUCAUUUUUCCAAACUAAUUGUGGAAUUUAAAAAAUUCUGCCAAACUAAUUGGAUAUACCUAAUCUUUUAAAAUAGAAGUUAGGCAAAAAAAUAAAAAUACAAUAAUAAGGUCCUUAAUAUAUCUCAAUGUGUAGAAGACUCCCUAGACCCUUUUUUUCAAUUAUAUCACUGUAUAUUUUCCAUACAAAUACAUUUAUACACAAGUAUAGAGUGCCUUUAAUAAAACAUUCAAAACUUUAAGUAGAAAUGUCCAAAUGACAAGCGGAGUUGAAAGCUACAAAUAAUGUCUGUAUAUUUACAAAUAAUUACAAGGUAUUAUACUAAUAAUUACAAGGUGUUACCUUAUUUUUUUUUAUGUUUUGAAAUAGAAAAAUCACUUGCGAUUACAAUUACAAAGUCACUCAACCAAUUAUAUUCAAGUGAUAUUUGUGAUAGAUAUAUUGCCUCAUGAAGAAAUUUCUAAAAGCUAAAUUUUUAAUAAAUAAAAAUCUACCCAUUUGAAUUAACUACUAAAUUAACCUGCUCUACUGAUCGAAUUACUUAAAUUUAAUGAAUUUUAUAUAUAGUGUAAGAGGACCCUUUGAGAGAUUUAUGUAACUAUACAAUCUUAAAAAUCACAUUACAAAUUUUUAUCAUUAUUUUCAAAAUCUGAAGUUAAACAAAUUUGCUUUUUCGUCUAAUUGAUCAAUUCAUAAGACAUUAUUAUAUAAUGUAACAUUAUUAAGUAUAAGACAUUAUUUUAUUUAUAUUCUAUUGUCAUUUUUUAAGUCAACAAAUAUAUAAUAAUUAUAUGGGCAAUGUAGAUUAAUUAGAAUAUCUAAUCAAUUAUCUUAAAUAAAAAUACAAAAAAAUAAAAAUAAAAUCAACGUAUGUUUUAAAAGGGAAUAAAUAUUAGAUCCUGGAUUUAAUGGGGCCUCAUUUAGUUAAUUAAUUUGCAAAAUUUUAUAUUAUGCUAAAAUUGUUAUAAAAUAUGUUAUUUAUGAAACAUUGCAAAAAUUAUGUGUAACACCCCGUACUUUCGGGCUAGAAUUUAGACCGUCGUUCCUAUGCGUAUAGAUCCGAACUAAAUGAUUCCAUGUUAAUAUAUGUGUAGUGAUCACUCCUAUAGUGUGGGAAAACCUUUGAAUAUGAAUUGAAGUCACAAAAAUCCCCUAACUCAAAGACGAAUUAAAAACUUUUCUAUCAAUAAAUUUUAGUGAACGUUUCAACGUGGGUCAAUAUCCAUCGACUAUUACUCCUAGAAUAUGAUGAUUUAGAGGACCUACUAUAUAUUGAAUGAAUGGUCUUCGAGGUAGCUUUCCAACGAUACCAAUUUCGCCUCAAUCCGACACCCGAGAUAAAAGUUAUGACUUUGCAAAGAGGAGUGUGUCGCCUAAGGCUAUUGGAAUUGUUGCGCCAUAGGCAAUGCGACGCCCAACCUAUUUUGGGCGAUGGGCAAUGCACGACACAACCUAGCUUAGGAUAUAGGCAAUUUGUCGCAUGCCCUAUGGCCCAACGACGUAAAUACUUCAUUUUUAAGUCAUUUUAAGGGAAAUCAAGUCUUUUUACAAUCCAAAAUUGUCCCUAAUUCAUCUUCCAAGAACACCAUAAGAGAAAAACAACUUAGGGCUAAACAUUCAAGCUCAAGGGAUCAACUUUUCUGUGAAUUCUUCAUCGAUUAAGGUAAGUACGGCUGUCCUAAAAACUCUAUGGGUAUAAGUUAUAUUUUAGCAAUCUUUAGAAAGUAUGUUAUGAUAUUUAUAACAAGGGUUUGAACAAUUUUUUUGAAUAUCUAAAUCAUGAAACCCUUUUCAAUGAUAGACGUAUUGUUUUGGUCUUGAUGCCUCCCCUUAAAAUUGAUUUUUACUCUUGUAUAUGUAAGUAUGCGUUUUGAGUUUUGCAAAGAUUAAAUUGAGAGCAUGAAUGACGAAACCCCUCUCUUGUUAAAAUAACUCUAGAUUUCACAUAUGAUGGGUUGUUCAAUUACAUAUUUUGAAGCGUGAGAUAAGUGUUUUACUAUUGUUUUGAACUUGAUAUUUAUUAUGAAUUGAAGAGAAGAUGUUUUAUUAUUUAUAAAUAUUUAAUGUGAUAAUUGAAAGAGAUUGCAUGAUUUGUAACGUGAUACUUGACCAUCACGUGUUUGUGAAUUGAAAUUGAGGAUCUUUGCCUAAGUUUUUAUGAGUUUCACUAUACGCAUCCUCAUGUAUGGUUUGAAUGGUUUGGUCAUCUGAACACAAGUUUUUGAAAGAGAAUACUUAACAUGAUUAUGUAUGACUUAGAGAUACGACUUGCAAGUCUUGGUAUGACGAUACUAAAUAGAUGAAUGCCAUAGCAGACUCAGAACAAACUAAAAUACAAUACAAAUUUUACUUAGAUUUUUAGAAUUUGAUUUAAGAAAGAUACAUGUUUAGAACAAACUAAAAAUGGUCUUAAAGAGAGUUAGGUGGUUACCCGAAGAAAUUACGAGUUGAAAGACUCAAUGCUAGAAACCGUGAUUUGCCGACACGGGGUUAUGGUACUAUGCUUUGUGAUCUUGUGUACCUUGAUUCAUGUCAUUCCAAAUUGGUACUAUUGUUAGGAGCCCUUCUUUUUAAUCUUGUGCACUACCAAGACAUGUUGAUUUGAUUAGAGAUUUUGGCACCCUGCUGUGUGAUCUUGUGUAUCCCCCUUAUUGAUACUCCAAUCCUGGAGGCAAACUUGGAUUGGGAGAUUAGCCAUCGAGUCAAGGGUGGAUUCUAUAUAGCCCGUGGAAUUACAGAAUGUAGGGUGUACCACCUAGCUCAGAAGUAUGACAAAGAAUGAGUUAUGAUUUCAAAGAAUUGUUCAAAGUCUUUUAAAGUAUGCCCAUGUGUUUUCAUAUUCUUUAUCUAAAAUAUUUUAUGAAUUGCUCUCACUUAUGAUAGAUAUAGAUACAUUAUUUUUUAUUGCCCUACUACUAGUACAUUUGUAUUGACCCCUAUAUUUCAGGAUUGAAGCUCAGUCCCGGGGUUUCGUUAAGCAGUAGAUUGACUUGACAGAAGUUGCAGCUAGUGAGCCUCCCUUACUUUGGAAGUUCUGAUUACAAAACUUGUCAUGGUUAUAUUAUUUUGAUCCAUGGUCCGACUGAGGCCUUGUCCCAGAGUUCAGACAAAUGUUAUUUUUAUUUAGUAAAGAUUUCACAGACCAGAGUCAUGUACUUUGAAUGUUAUAAACUUCAUUUUGUAUUGUCCAGUUGAAUUUAAAAAGUGACAAUGUUUUCGUUUAUUA